rnacentral:lncRNA from 1 species
AAAGAAAAGAGUGAGAAAAACACCAAUAUCUGUUCAAUUUGUCAUUUCAUCUAUCCUUUUGUUCUUGAAUGGUAGAAGGCGCUCUUUCUCGUUCUAUCUUCACACAGUAUUUUCUCUCUUCCAUCUAAUUUGUCAACCUAGAAUUAAGCAACAAAGGCUAUAGAAAAUAUGAUUUUUUUUUCCUUCUCUAUUAAAUUGUUAGCAUAUUUUUCUAUUACUAUUUUAAUAAUAGAACUAACAAAUCAGACAUAUAUAUUGAAUGGCUAAUUAUCUAGUUUGUGCGACUAUAUAUUUAUUGUUAUCAUUUGAUCAAGUUGCAUGAUAGUUGGUUUGAUACUUUUUGAAUUAUUAUUUUAUAUGAUUGAUUAUCUUUUUUUAUGAACAUAUGUAGAAUAAUUAAACAAGUUAAUGCAUAUUAGAAUAUGUUCCUUAAUAUAGUCUAGAUAUUCUAAUUGUUCUUAAUAUAUCAUUACAUAUAAUCAACAUACAUUUAAAUAUAUUUAAAAUAAUAUUUUAUUUAAGUAUAUCCCGCGUAUCGUAUCCUAGAAGUUUUAGAAAUUCCCGUAUCACCGUAUCGGUGUCGUGUCGUAUCUGUAUCCCCGUAUCCGUAUCUGUGCAACAUAGCCCCCCUGUACUGUGCCACCUUCUUGGUGGCAUGGUACAUGCCGCCCCAUGCCUUACGACACGGGACGGCACUUUAAACGUUGCUUAGAAGUUCGCAGUUUUCUUUAGUUUUCAGAACAUGCAAAUCACUCUCGUGUUUAGUACCCUUACAGAGCUAAUUUCUAACCCUACAAUCCAGAUAAGGAUUUACAAAGUACCAAACAGAGUUAGCAAAUGGUAGGAUCAUUUUUGGCCGAAUAAGUUUGGACCAACAAGUACUUAUUUCUAAUCUUUGUAAUGUUUCGAUAUAGUGUUCAAAUUUGGAUUAAUAUGCUUACAAACUAUAUUCUCUACCUAGAAAUAAGCUGGAGUUGCUCAGUUUUCUGAUACUGUAAUCUGCUAUUUCUUUAUUCCCUUGAGGAGAGUGCGACUCCUGUCUUCCACAAAUUCAUAUUUAAUUAAUUUCUUUAUUUGCAGAGCAAAGCCGAUGCUUUCGAGUACGCUGACCAAGUAUUGGAGAAAUGGUAUCCCACAGUUGAAGAAGGGAACAAUAAAGGAUUAGUUGUGCUGGUUACUAGUCAGAAAGAAGGUGCAAUCACAGGGGGCCCUGCAUUCCUCCAGGCUGUCGGAGACUCAGUUUUAGACGCUGCAGUAUCUGAGAACCUUCCAGGUUAGCAUUUGUUAUAUUUAUCAUAUUAAAUAACCAAAAUGUAAGUUGAGCUGAGCUGCAAAUUAGGAAAGGAAGCUCAUUCCCUUUAGAUCUGGCACGCACUAAGAAUACUACGUUGAUUCUCAAUUCUAGAAGUGACUUCUAUAAGUCAUCUUUCUCAUAAUACGAUGUAUUUGCUGCUAAUGCCUCUGUUCAUUUUAUUACUUAAAUCAAUGCUGGAAGAAGAUUAUUGCAUGGCAAAUUAAGAACAGCUGUUUUAUUCAUUUCAUGCAAGGACCUUUAGUUCUGAAAGUCAUAGGGUUACUGUUCUUAAUUAUGAUUUCCAGGUGUGUGAUCUUAUAUAUCUGAUCUAUUUUAUUAUACAAGAAGAAAAUAAAUAAUAUGUACAAAUGCAAUGCUAAUCUUUUUGAGAAAAAUGGUUGUUUCAUACGGUGUUAGAAUCGGAAGUCAGUUUUAAUAUUUCUAGGUUAUGGAUGGACAUCCAGUCUGAUUUAAUUUCCUCUCAUUUGCUCUAUAUGCACAUGAUGGCCUUAUAGCCAAAAUCUGCCCAGACUUGAAGGCGAGGAUUAAAUAUUUACUAGUGUAGUCACCCGCGCGAUGCGGCGGAUAGAUAUUAUCGAAACAAUCAUUAUUUCUAUAAAAUAAAAAAUAUUAGUUUAAAUGGGCUGUAAAAAUCGGUAAAAUACUAUUAAAGAUGACAUUUUUAUACUUAUUAACUCAACAAUCUAUAUAAUUAAACUCAAUAUUUCAGUCAAAAAAAUAAUAAAAUUAUAAGUAAGGAUAAAUACAAAAUUUACAAUUGAUUACACAUAACAAUUCAAAUAAAAGGAAUUGUUAAAGUUCAAGCGAGUGUUAAUUGAAAAUUAAAUAAAAUUGAGGGCCUAUUUCAAAUGGGCUAGAGAGGAUCUCUCAGUAAACAUUUGUACCAAUCUUUUUUUAGUAUAAAAAAAAAAAAAGCCAAACAAAGCUAAACCUGCACUUCUCCGGGCCUAAUUAUGCCCUUAUGUCCAGCAAAAUUUUGAUGAGUGAAUGAGCCCUGAAACCCCACAGAAAUAAUUCAGUGAACACCUUAUAAGCAUCUACUGCAAACCAAUCUGAAUUAUAACAGAGAUGUGUAACUUGAGUUACUUCUAGUAUGUAUGUAACAGUAUCAAAUCCUGGAAAAAAAAAAUAUAAUUAAAUACAACAACACCUGAACAGAAGCAAAUACCCUAUAAUAUAAGACCAUCAAUUAUAAGUUGUCAUUUUUCCAAACCAACCUCUAUGAGGGUAAUCAGGAAACCCAGCGGGAGGAGAAACUGCAACAAAACAAAUUGUAAUUCAAGUGAAAAAAAGAAAAAAAAAAACCAACUUAAAAAAGAAGGAACAGUUGAGCAAAAUCAAGCAAAAUUUGGAAGAAUUUAAUGAUAAAAAUUCUAAAUUUUUUAUCCAAAUCGGAAAAAAAAAGGUUUUCACAUCUUUCCGAUAAACCAAAAUACCUUCAAACUCAUUCAGGAGAGGGAAAGGAUCCAAGAUUCUCAGCUCAGGCCUGCAAAUCACAUAAACCCCACCUAAUUAACACCCAAAAUAGAAAAACCAAAAGGUACAUAUAUAAAAAAAAGAAUGAAUUCAUAAAAAAAGUCUCUUUUUGCUUUCGCAAUAAGUAAUCGAUUUAUCUGAAAGUUCAAUCUCAAUCAUUCAAUGAAUUACAAAUUUUUACACGAAUUACCUUUUAAUACUUCUCCUCAUGGUGGCGUCUUGUCUAUAAAAAAAUAAAAAUAAAAAAAAAUAAAAUAAAAUAAAUAAAAUAAAAUGAAAGAAUGAAAUGGUGACUAUGAAAAGUUUAAUAGAUAUUCAAAGUUGGUAGAGUAAUCAAUUAUAAUUAUAAUUGCCAUUAAUUGAUGAAACGUUAAUGUAGAUUACUAUUAAUUCAUGAAACGUUAAUAGAUCAUAUAACGUAGAGGAGAGGGGAGGGAAAAGGGUGGGAAUUAAAGGAGAGAGAAUUAUUAAAAAAAUGAAAGAAUGAAAUGGUGGCUAUGAAAAGUUUAAUAGAUAUUCAAAGUUGGUAGAGUAAUCAGUUAUGAUUAUAAUUGUCAUUAAUUGAUUAAACGUUAAUGUAGAUUACCAUUAAUUCAUGAAACGUUAAUAGAUCAUAUAAUGUAGAGGAGAGGAGAGGGGAAGGGGUGGGAAUUAAAGGGGAGAGAAUUAUUAAAAAAAACUAAAACAAAUUUUUCUAUCUAUUAACUAAAGAAUGAAGGGUUUCUUGCCACGUGGCAAGAAACAUUGUGGAUUCAUUAUGUUUAAUAGAUAGAUAGUUAAGACGCCAUUAUCUACUAGCUUAAGCAAUUAGAUAAAAAAUAAUAAUAAGCUGGUAAAAAUAUAUGGAACUUUUUUGAACUAUGGACCGUUUGGAUUUAGCUACACAAUCUUUCAAAUUUCUUAUUUUAUUACCUAAUCUUUCAAAUUUUUUGAUUUGAGCCAGUCAAAGGCACUUUAACCUCCGUUUAUUUUACAGGUUUAGUUAGUAUAUUUUAUGCAAUUCGCGCAACUAUAAAUUUAUUAAAGUAGUUAGCUUAAAUUUUGAAGUCAAAGUUUCGUUGAUUGACUCAAAUCAAAUAAAUUGAAAGGUUGGGUAGCCAAUCCAAAUGGCCCAUAGUUCAGGUAAGUUUCAUAUAUUUUUACCUACUAACUUCACAAGGAACUGUAGCUAGAUAGCUAUAUACUGUCACGUUGAUUUGUGCACAGUGAAUGCAAGUGCAAGAUAAUAAAAAAUAAAACUUAAGAGCAAGAAAUGCAGUAGAAAGUAUGUCGGCAUGCUUUGAUAUUUUACAAUUUGAUGAAGACAAAGUCACCAGUGGCUGAUCAUGAGAUGCGAAAGUUUGUAUUAGGAAAUGACAAUAUAUCCUGAUUAAACACUAAUUUGGCAAGAGCAUUCUUUGGUACCUCUCUUGUUUAUUCUUUUAUCUGAUAGGGCGGGCAGCUCAUACGAAAGAAGUGCAAACUUUUAUGUGACAGCCCAGAGUUUACAAGUUCACUUUCAAAACGAGUAAUUUAAUUUUGGUUCUUUUAGCUAAACUUUAAUUUUAUUCUUUCUUUCUUCUUAGAGUGAGACACUCUUCUCAUGUGUACAGAGUUAGGUAUGUCAGUAACAUGUAUAGUUCUUAUUGGCAGCUAUAUCUAGGAAUUGGGGCGACCUUGCUAGCGUGCGCGAGGUUUGCAUAGAUAAGUUGGUCGACGGGCAAAAAAGUUAUAUUGUCAUGAAUUUAUCCACAUAACUUCGACUUCGACUUGUAAAUUGUAAAAUAUGUUACCGCAUGCAUCUUCUUGGCUAUAAAAGGCCAUCUCGAAUAGAUUAGGCAUGUGAAAUCAUCAAUUCAUAUCACCCAUAACAGCCGACAGAGAAGAUUGAUUCUGUUCCAGCAUGAUUUCUAUAGUUGUGAAAUGGUUUAGUGUUUAAGCGUGUCGUGGUCUAUAUCCAUGUCCAUGUCCAUGUCCAUGGAACCUAGGCUAGAAGUUAUGAUUUUUGUGUAUAUUUUGAUUUUUUAUGGAUCAUACUGUAUUAUAUCAAAACUGCAAGGCUUCAGUAUUGCUCGCAUUAUGUAGUGAUAAAUAAAUGUACCAGAGGUAUAAGAUACUUCAUCUUCUGUUUCAUGUGUGCAGUGUUAGCCACUGAAGAGAAGUACAAUGAGGCACUGUACAGCACCGCCAAACGCCUGGUUGCGGCAAUCGAUGGGCUCCCAGAUCCCGGCGGACCAAAAUUUCAGGACAACAAGCGCGAAUCCAACUUCAAGAGCAGGGAGGAGACUGAAGAAAAGAGGGGGCAAUUCACCCUUGUUGUCGGUGGUCUUCUAGUGAUUGCAUUUGUCGUGCCGAUGGCUCAGUACUAUGCCUAUGUUUCCAAGAAGUAGGUUGCAAUUGUGUACUCUUCACUGAGAAAUCCUAGUUGCGAGAAACAAUCCAUUCAUGAAUUGAGAAGCACAGAGGUCGCCAAAUUGAUAGCAAAAAUGCAUCAAGUUCCCCAGAUUUUUGUUUUUGUUUUUUUUUUUUUCCCUAAUUUCUCUGCACUAAAAAAGCAUUAUUGUGCGUACAAACUUCGUCCCACGUAAGUGUCAUUGCGCUGUUCUAUCAUAAGCAUGGCUUCAUAAUGUCGUUAAGCCGGUGUAAGGUAAUUCUUCCCCAGCUCCUGUAAUGGCUUUUGAGAGACUGGCACAUGACGCGAGGGGCGUCUGCAUUUGGCUUAAAAUCAUAAUGGCAGAAAAUUACUGUGUACUGCAGCUUAUAUAAUAUUAUUUACAUUCAAUGAUUAGAGAUAAAGAUACAUCAACGUAGCAGGUUCGGUUAGGAAAUUGAGGAAAGAAUGCGACCCGGUCGUUAGAACUUAGGUUUCAACAGAAAAGGCAUCUUGUCAGAGAAUGGAGGAUCGGAGUACUUCCCGGUGAGUAUCUGUGAUGAAACAUGAAAAUUCGCAGCCUCUGUGUAAUGUAUUCCAUCCCAAUUGACAUAUUCUGUGCUAUCGUUGCAUCCUUUUGCUGUCAAACGACUCCCACUGAUAACUUUGGUUUGCCCGCAAGGGAUUCGACUGUCAUAAUUCAGUGCUCCUCCGCCGUACCCACAGCAUGCUGUUAUGGGAUAUUCAAAUCCUGCACAAAAUAUUGACGAAUUAUGUCCCAGUGUCAUGUUUUAACUUUUAACAUGCGCACUAAUGAAUAACAAAUAAUUUUCUUACCAUAUCGAGAAUAAUUUGCAAUCAGAUCAUACUUUAUCGAGUAGAUAUCAACGUAAGUGAUGUUUGCAUCUGUGUAUUGACCCUGCAAUUUUGUACAAAGUGCAUGGAGCUGCAAGUUGAAAAGCUUAGCUGCGCGAUUAUGGGACGCAACACAUCCGAGCUCGUCCAGCUUUGAUGGAUCUUUACCAAAAGCAGCUAUGUUUUGAGGUAAGCACCCGAGGGGAGCAGUAUUAUGAAUCCAGAAUUUCCUUGCGCCGUUAUCAUAUAACUUCUGAAAGAGAGAAUAUUAGGUAAGAGUAGAAAUCCAUGAACUAAUCAACUCAACUAACAGUAAACUGCAUCAGAAUAUAAGUAGACAAAAAUACAAGUAGACAAAGUAACAACACUAAUAAAAGUCAACUUGAAUAGCAAGAAGAGAUUCUACAAAAUGAUUAGCCAACUGCACAAGAAAAUUUGGCUUCUAUUUAACCAAAACACAUAUUACUUUUGUGAAAAAGAAAAUUGAUGCUUUAUUAGUUUAAAAGCUUCAUCAAGAUUUUUUCUCUUUUCCUUUUUUUUUUUUUUCAUUUUUUUCCCUUUUUUUUUCUUUUUACACAUGAUGAAGCAUGCAAUUAAACCUUUAACAGGUUAUUAAGUAAAGGGCAUCCAAAGUGGAAGUCACGAAACCUUGAGUCCAGUCUCGAAUUCCAAUAGAAUUGUUGGAAUAGAGGCAAUAACUUGGUCCUCCUUUUUGUGGUAGAAUGCACCGGCGAGGUCAUUUUGGCCUACAUCGAACAUGUAGAGUCCCUCACCGAAGAAAUCCACAUGAGGAAUAUAUUUCUUGUAUCUGUUCCCUGCAAUGAAGCAAGAAGGAAACCGAAAUUUUAGUUGCACAAUCAUUUGAAUUCAACCAGAAUUUAUAAGCUACAAGCUGCUUGAAGCCUCAGCCAUUGCACGGGAUCUGUUUUUAGUCAUAAAACUUUCCAUGAUAUGUUCGGACAAUUUCAAAAAGUGGCCUUUUUUCGUUUCGUAUCUGUUAUAAAAGUUCACCACAUUCUUACAAUGUACAAAUUCAAAACUGAAAUGUGUGGUACUCGGAUUAGUAGCAUAACAUGUUAUUUCUUUUCUGGAUAGGGACAUGAUGCUGCUAACGCCAUUGAUGCAGCUAAUUUGUACAUGUCUAUUGUUAACUCGUUAAAACAGUAGAAGAUAGUAAAGGCGAUUUUAAGUCAAAAAAGCAGAAGUCCAAAGAAUACAUGACACAGGUUUUUGGCCAUCCGUUCCGAAGCACGCAACGCAAGGAAGGCAGACACGUGGGUGGGCCGUGACUUCAGCCCUUUGAGCUUGGUGAAAAUGACAGAUUCCAGCUUCUCGCGACUAAGUCGCCGAACUCAGAUAAUUAUACUAAAUUUGAAUCGCAAUGUGCAAUGAAAUGAAUGCUACAAUCCCAAUAGAACUAACCCCACUCAAUCCUGCUAUUGAAAAUCCAGCGCAGCAGAAUUCACUGAAUUGCCCCAUUACCACAAUACCCUUAAUUAGCUAUUGAGCUAGAUAUGUCUUAACCCCAGAAAACUUUUCUAUCCAGUUUUAGAGAUAUCGACAAGAGUUCCCCACAUCCAACUAACAUUUAUAGGGUUACUUGCACUAUUGGUCCCUAACUUUUACCUAUUUUUAUUUUGGUCCAUAACGCUUUUUUUUGGCUAUUAGAUCCGUAACUCUUAUAAUCUGUUUCAGUUAGGUUCUAACCAUCAUAAUUCUUGUUACUUUUUGACACAUCAAACCCGAUAAAGCCCUGUCUACUCUUGUAGAUCAUUGUCAUGGUCCAAUAGCCCCCGGUCAAGGUUUUAAGUGCCCGUCGGCAUGGGCCGUAUCCACCUUGCCGUACCGUGCCAACAAGAUACCGACACGAUACAGACCCCGUGCCGAUGGCACAGCUCAAAACUCUCUAUUCUUUAAAUUAGUAAGUAAUUUCCUCAAUAAAGUUCAAAAGAUGUGAUAAAAAGAUAUAAUAAAUAGUUAGAAUAUUUUGUUGCUAAAGAAAAUAAAUAUUUCGUGCUAUUAUAUGUCGGCACACAAGAAUUUUUUUGACCGACACGCAUUGGCACGACUCGGCACCGCCGUACCGUGCCGGCAAGUUUCUUGCACAACCCCGUGCCAUGGCACUUAAAUCCUUGCCCCCGGUAAGUCUCGGCACUGAUUGUUCAAGCUUCUAGAAAAGUUUGGUGGCACUCCCUGCUCAACAUCAAGGAUGCCAAAUACUCCAAAAGUGGUAGUAGACAUCGUAUGCAUCAUAGUAACAUUCUUUGAUAUCCCAUAUCUAGUUUCAGCUUUAGCCUAGAAAGGUAGCUUAGUUUGUCGCAUAAAUUAUUCGCCUAUUUUUAUUCUGAUCUACAAACAUAGCUUAGUUUUAGUUAAACAACUUUAGCCUGAAAAAUCGUCACACAAGCAUAUUUUUGACAUGCAACAUAGGUAACAUGCAUGAAAAAUUGUGGUUCUAGAUUCCUAAAUACGGGACAAUUUAGACAACGUUAAAAUGGGAUAGCAAAAAGUUCUAUUUUUCACCCUCAGCACUUUCAAAAGUAUUAUACCUAAUACAAACAACUUCACAACUUAUAAGACCACUAAAUUUUGCGUACUAGAGUAUAAUCUCUUUUGCUUACAGUAAGUUAGAUUCUAAAAUUAGCUUGGCAAGAGCAAUAUACAUACCUUUAGCUAGCAAUUCAAGAACUCGAUCCUUGAACCGAAGAAACUGAGCAAUCUGAAGACCAAAGCCAAAUGGGCUGACAGAUGAUGCUGUUGCAGGAAGUAUGGUAGAACCAGCCACAGCAAAGUUUGAACCUUUUCGAAAACUAGGUGCACCAACAGAAUCUAAAUAUGCAUUAAGGAACGGCAUAUCCAUGGCAUCCACUGCACAAAACAAUUACAAUUUCGAUCAAUAUAAUGCACUUUCCAGCAUUCUAGCAUCAUGUACAAGAAUCUAAGCACAAAAAAUGUAAACUGCAAAUAGGCGGCCAAUAUAUCCUUACAAAGACAAUCUCCAAACAAGGACAUGGCAACAGUGCUCCGCUCCUAUGUGGCAACACUAAAAAAUUACCUUUUUCUCUGUGACUGAGUGGGUACUCCACUAUAGCAAGUAGCGGUGAUAGCGAAACAUGCCCUAUGCUAUUUGUACAUGAGCAAGAAGCACAAUAGUUAAUACAAAAAAUUGUUCUCAACUGUUUAUGUGAAAAAGGUACACUUGUGAAGGGGCCAAUUAGCAUCCUUUAGGUUCUUUGUUUUUGCCUCGCUUGUUUCUCUUUGUGGUUGAGAGCACUUAAGGAUUGACUUCUUUAAAUUCUUACCGUUGGUUUCAAGAAUUAUAGUGUCAUGGCACGGAGGCGUGCCAGUUGUCGCCCGGCACAGUACGGCACAGGCACGCCUCCGUGCCGACACCAAGCAUGCUGAUAGAUACGCAUAACCUCCUAGCAGCACGUUUUGGCACAAUUUUUUUUAGAUUUUUUUGUUCUCAAUAAACUCUUAUAAUGCUAUUUUGAAAGAUUUCGAAAAAUAAUUAUAAAUAUUGGCUAUGUAUAACUUAUUGCACUCAAUAAUUAAUAUACUAGUAGAUAUUUUAUACAUGUACAACAAAUAUAAUUAUAGCUCGUAGAAAAUAAUUAAUUUUGAAAAUUUUCUGAUUUUAGCUUUUUUCGGAAAUUUAAAAAUAAUAAAAUAUAAAAUUAAAGAAAAUUAUUUUUUUCUUAAAGUUUUUAUGGAAUUUGCAAUAUUCAAUAAUAUUGAUUCAAUAAGAGACCGCAUGAUAACUAGAUUAACUAGAAUAGAACUACAAUUGUUCCAAUAAUUUUUUUAAUUUUGAAUCUAUUAAAAACAUUUAUUAAAAUUUUGAAAAAAGAUUUUUUUUAUUAAAAUUUUUAAGAAAAAUUAUGAGAUCUAUCCAUAAAAAUUUAAUAAUAAAUCAUAUGUUGAAUAAUUAAGCAAAUUCAAAUAUUAAUUGCUUUAAUUUUUUUAUUUUAUUAGUAUUUUCCACCUUCUAAAUCCAAAAAUAGAAUUCUCAAAGUAAAAAACAAAAAUUGUCGUAAAUCUCAUGCCCAUUGCUAGAUUUAUCCAAAAUAAUUACAAAUCGAACUACAUGAUAACUUAAUCAAGUAGAUCUAUUUUUAAAAUUUUGUAAACUAUAAAUAAAAAUUUGCAUAAUUUUAAAUUUCUCCAAAAUAGGAACUUCACAAGUUACAAAUAUUCAAAAUGUAUGAACAAAUUUAAAAUUGUAUAUUUUUUAUUUAUCUAACAAGUACAUCUUUGACUUGCUAUUUCUUUGCCUUUUCGAAGUGAUCAAAGUGAAAAAAAAAAGUAGAAAUAGAAGAAAUUGAAAAAAGAAAUUAGAGAAAAAAUUACAAAGGGAAAAGGGAGGAAAAAUAGAAAAAAAAAAAGAGAGAGAAAGAGAUAGUAAGAAGAAAAGAAAAGACUAAAAGAGCGAGUUGAGGGGAAGAAAAAGUAUAAGAGAAUGGGAAAGAGGGAUGUGUGUAGGACACAAAAAAAUCCAAAAUUAGGCACAAAGUACUAAAAAAAAAAAAAAAAAAAACUUAAAACACUGCGUGCCCAUAUAGGCACGCAGCGGCACUGUACUGCGAUACCCUUUGGUAUCAUGCCGUCUAGCACGAUACUCUUUGGGUAUCACGACACGGGGGAUCUAAGAGAGAUCCCCCCUGUAUUAUGCCCCUUAAUUGCUGGCACGAUACGUAUCGCUCCGUGCUGACUGGCACGGUGGAUACUUUAAACCUUAGUAUCUGUAAACUCCCCCACCCUCCCCAAAACAAAGAACACUUGCUAUUAUCGUUCUAUUUUUCUUUUUAUUCCUUUUUAUUCCUCAUGAAAAACCAUUAUUUACUAUUUGCAAAUAGUUACGAAGUAAUAAACCUCAUUUCUAAGAGCUUAUAACCUCAAAAAUUUUAAGGAAAAACAUAACCUAAAAACAUAGACGAAAUGGUAAUUAGCUAUCAUAAUGGCUUAUUGGCCUAAUGAUGCAGGUAUUCUACUGCUUCUAGAAAAUGGUUACAAUACAACCCAACAUAUUGUCAACAUUAAAUAGUCUGAAAACAGCUUAACCAAAAUAGUACAACAGAAAUUAUUCCGCAUCAACUUGGUAUCAAAUCCUAAAGAUUCCUUACUAAAGUAACAACAAACUGUUGAUUUUGAGAAAAACUAAAACGGUCUUCGUCUCUCCAUCUAACCACCUAAGAGAUAGGACCAGCAAAUAGGCUUAUCAUCAUUAAGACAUCAAUUCAAAGAGUUGAGGAGCAUAUAUUGGUAACAGAUUGCAUAAAAAUGUCAUUUCAGCAGCAACUGAUCUCCUAACUAACACUCAUGCAAAGGAAGACAUCUCAAUUCCCACUUAAAAAGGCGCACCAACAGAAUUCCAUCAAGGCAUCGUUUGGGAAUAUAUUACUCAAACACACAUCAUGGGUCUAAAAAUCCAGAAGCACUUUGGAGCUCACUUUCUCGGAUGCUUUGAAGUGGUGGUUUGUGUGGCAAUCCCUACCAUCAUUUUAUAGCAUUGGGUGAGGAGGCUACAAAAUAUUUUCCAAAUUGCUUUUGAAUUUCCAGACGCAAUGGAGAGUGCAUUUGGGCAAUCGAUUCCCAAACUAUGUCCAAGGCCUAUGUUUGGAUGCAUGAGCAUCUUUUGCAAUUUAUCCCUUUGAUUUACCUCAGAAGCAUGUAGUAUUUGGUAGAUAAGUAGCAGGUCAAAUGUACUAAAAUGAAUAUCAUAUUCGACUUUCAUGUCAAUGUUUUGGAAUAACAUAAGGCACCUCGUAGGUGGAAUACGCUAUCCUACUAAAUCAUAGAUGUCAAGAUCUUUUGAGAAAAGAAAAUUCAAACUCCUAGCUUUCAAUUAUACAAGAAUAGUUAUUAUUGGAUAUCUUAUUUGGACAUCUAAAGAGGGACUCAAUCUAUUUUCUUCUGCUAAACACACUAGCUAUGUGUAUAUAUAUAUAUAUAUAUAUAUAUAUAUAUAUAUAUAUUCAAUAACAUCCUUGAAGCAAGCUCCUCUUACGUCCCAACAAAAUAUAAAUAAAAAGAAUAAAAAAAAAUUUUAAAAAAUAGCUUAGCAGGCAGAGAGUGCCCAUCACUCAAUUGCAACCAAUAUCAACCAAUAGUUCAAUUUAUAGCCGAAAGAAAAAAAAUAAAAAUAAAAAUGUAAAGGUCGUUGGGCAAAUGAAUAAAUAUGCAGUUAAUAGAUAAGGUUAAAGAUCUCGGCGGGUAGGACGAGAGAGAGAAAGUGAGAGAGGAAUGAAUUACAGAGGAAAUCGAUGAUAAGCCGGCCAUCGCAGAAGCGGCCGGCGGGUCUGCGGAAGUAGGUCUGCCCGUACGGGGGGCCGAUGCUCUCGAGGCCGGCGGCAAUGCGGGCGCCGGUGUCGGAGUUGGAGUCGCCGAAGUUGAAGACGGCCGGGCAAUUAAAAUCUACGGCGGCCAUAGCCACGCAGGCCGUGUGCAGAAAGAGGACGACGAUGACGAUGAUGAUGAUGAUGAUGUGGGAGGAGGCGAGGCGGCGAGCAGGCCGAGAACGUGCUGCCAUCGGAGCCGCCCGUUGCUCUUUGCGAGCUCUCUGUGCUAUUUGAAAGUAUGUAAUCACUUAUUUGGAAUACCUGAGAACGGGCGGUGGUAAAAUGAUUGUGGCCUUGCGGGAGGCCGGGAUUUUCUAUAAAGCAACAACAAGAAUGACGGGAGAGGCUGUUGGUGGCAAGAGACUAAUAAGAGAGCCCCCAAGAGCUGCAGCGCCUGGUUUUAUUAUUUUGUAAGUCACUUCUAACACGCUUAGAAAAGACGCAGAAGCAAUGUUGUCCGUAUUUUCUUAAAUUUGGUACACAUUUUAUACUACAUUUAUUCGAUAGUUCUUAUUCUCUGGUUAUUAUAUUAUUAAUUUUUUUUAGGAAAAACUUCAAAAACCUCCUUUAUGGUUUCAAUUUUUUUCACCUUAAUACCCUGUGGUUUAAAAUGUAUCAAGUUAGUACCCUGUGGUUUCUCACUUUAUCACUUUAGUACCCUGUGGUUUUAAUUUGUAUCAAGUUAGUACCCUGUGGUUUUUUAAAUCACAGGGUACUAAAGUGAUAAAGUGUGAAACCACAUGGUACUAAAGUGAUAAAGUGCAAAACCACAGGGUACUAACUUGAUACACUUUAAACCACAGGGUACUAAAGUGAUAAAAUGAGAAACCACAUGGUACUAACUUGAUAAACUUUAAACCACAGGGUACUAAAAUGAAAAAGUGUGAAACCACAGGGAGGGUUUUUGAAGUUUUCCUUUUUUUUUAACUAUAAGUUUCAAAGUUUCGGCAAACGGUAGAAUAUAUCAAGUGUAAGACUAAAAGGGAUGUAAAAAAAAAAAAAAAAAAUCCAUCCAAGUAUAUUUAUCGCUUUGAAGAAAAGAUAUUAAAUAUAGGCAUUCUUAUGUCAAAAUUUGUUAUGACAAUGCAGAAACUAAUAACUAAUAAGUAUAAAGUUUGAUAUAAUAAUUUAUACUCUUAUUUUUCUAAAGCAACAAAAAAUUGUGUGAAGUACAAAAUUUUGAUGAAAUAUGUUGAUGAAGUAAUAAGAAAAUUUAUGAAUGAUUUCGAUUGGCAUGCAUAGCAAUUAUAAAUACUAAUAUAGAGCGGCCCACGCUUCGCGGCGGGUAUGUGAUAUUUCAGUAAUUUAAAAUAUAUGGUUAUUAAAAUUUUAAGCUUACAAAAAUUAUGUUGAGAAAUUAGAUUGCAAAUUGUAAUGAUGUGUAUUUGAUAAAUUACUUUGUGAAAUUUAUGUGUUGAACGAAUGGAUUCCUUUGUAGGGACAUGUCUGUUCAAACAGACAUGACUCUUCGAUUAUGUCUAUUCAAACAAGAUAUGACUUACCUUUUGAAAAAAAACAUAUAAAUAGAGGCUCUUGUGCCAAAAUUCAUAUCACCAAAAGUUUCCAGAUUUCAGAGUUAAGAGCGUGAGAGAUUCCGAGUUUUGCUUCUUGAGUAUCUCUAGCCUCGUUCUAUCCCGAGAGUUCUUUGUCAUAACCCGAAGCAAACUUUGUUUGGGGGCAAAUCUACUCUUUGGAAAGUGCUGAACCCGUGACUCGAGACUUUCCCCAUGUACGAGUAUUUGCUCGUGUUUAUUUCUUGAAGUGUUCGUGGCUGGUGUUCGAGUUCGAUAAUCGUCUCUUUCGGUUGUCAUCCCCUACCGUCCCUUUCAAUCAAAGAGUAGAUUACUUUCUUUUCGAGAUGGCUUCGGAGGUGACGUCCGUGUACAAAGUUAUCAACCAAGACUUUGUGAAAAUUGAUCGUUUUGAUGGGACAAAUUUCAACCAUUGGAAGGACAAGAUGCUCUUCCUUCUCACUGUGCUUAAUGUGGCGUAUGUGUUGGAUCCUGAUGACAAUUCUGUGGAGAAUACAACCGAUGAUGCUACUCCCGAGGAAAUAGCAAAAGUAGCGGAACUGAAGAAGAAAAGAGAGGAAGAUGAGUUCAUAUGUCGAGGCCACAUCCUCAACACACUCUCCGAUCGACUGUAUGAUCUCUACAUGUCGAUCAAGUCUCCGAUCGAGCUAUGGAAGGCACUUGAAGAGAAAUACAACACUGAGCGACAAGGUACCGACAAGUUUCUUAUGAUGAAGUACUUCGAAUUUAAGUUCCUUGAUUCCUAUCCUCUCAUGGACCAAGUCCAUGAGUUGCAAGUGCUCGUGCAGAGACUUCGUGAUCUCAAAGUCAUUAUUCCCAAGGCAUUACAAGUGGGGGCGAUUAUUUCGAAAUUACCCUCCACUUGGAACGAGUAUUGGAAAAAGCUUCGUCAUAUGGCCGAAGACUUUUCUAUGGAGAAAAUUCUUAGACAUCUUCGCAUUGAGGAAGAGACUCGAAAGCGAGAUGCGGUGAAUUUUUCUCAAAGUUCUAAAGUGAAUAAUAUGGAGUCCAAGACCUCUCGGAAAGGCAAGAGAAAGGCUUCGUUUGAAACCGAAGAACAACAAGACAAUAAUAAGAAGAAGCGUACAUGCUUCCAUUGUCAUAAGAAAGGGCACUACAUUAAAGAUUGCCGAAUUCUCAAGAAAGAGAAUUAACUAAAGGAAUCCACCGCUCAAAAGGCCAAUGUGGUUGAGGAGAAGGACUUAGUGGCCAUGGUGACAGAUUCUUUUCAGUCCAUGGAGAUUGGUAUGAUCACCGAACUGAACAUGGCAACUACCGAGAAAUCGUGUAAUUGGUGGCUAGACUCUGGUGCUACAGUCCAUGUGUGCAAUGACCGGCUACAAUUUAAAGGCUACGAGGAGGUGGCAAAUCGAGAGGUGCUUAUGAGCAACAACCAAUUGGUCAAAGUGCACGGUCGAUCAAUGUCACGCCCCGAGCCCGAUCCUUUUGACCGGUUCGAGUGCGUCGAACAGACGCCGAACGGACAGAGCCUCCCCUGUCCGCCCAAGGCUCCACAAUAUGUAUCAAUAGAGUAAAAAUUGCAUAAGCGGAAGCAUACGCAAUGGCUUGCACGAGGGCAAGCAAUAGCCAAUAGUGAAAGUAAUAAACUACACUUAGGAAAUCAAUUACAAUUUUGCAUCAUUUCUUCUCUUUUACAUCGCAUGAUCUCAAAUAUAAAUUCUUGCAUUUAAACAUAAACUCUUUUUACAUCAUUUAUUUAACAUGUUCAUAAUAGUAUAAUCAUCAAGAUACAAAAGAUGAUGUAUAAGUAGAGGGUAUGCGACUACAAAAUGAUAACCACUCGGGAGGUCUCUAACUAGGGCGCUAUGCCCUUACCGCGAUCGUCAGUCGGCUCGCUCGGUCAUGGCUCUAUGAAAAUAGGGGUGUGAGAACUACAACAAAGUUUUCAGUGGGUUCGGCAACCAACCACGCCGACUAUCCCACUAGGUCUAAUCAGGCAUAAUAGAAUAGAGGAAAGAAAGUAACUAACUAACAAAUGCAACUAAUAUGCCUGAACAAUAUAAAAUGCGAUGCUCGAUGUAAUGCUCAUGAUGAAUGUAGGAUCACAAUUUCUUUAUCCAAUCUCUUGGCUAACCCGUAGGUUUCGCCCUCAACAAACUCACCAAUCCAAAAUCCGAAUAACUGGGGAGAUAUCCGCUACAACCCGAUAAGACCGUCUUCUGGGGAGAUACCCACUACAAUUCAGUGAUGUCAACUCCGGAGCACAUCGCCCGAGGGGGAGCUACCACCCUCGAGCAAUUACUAAAGGUGAGUACGAUCAAUCCUACAUUGAGGAUUCCAAGUUCAAUCCAUUCCUUAACUUUAAGGAAGACCAUACUCAAAUGACCAUUAACUCUAAGGUUGAAAUGUCAUAAUGUCUCAAUCAUUCUUUUUUUUGCAUUCUUUACUAUCACUAGUAUCAUAUACACUACUAAAUUCUUGUACUCAUGCCACACUUGUGUUUCUAAGUGCUAUGUUCUUGUUCUCAUGCCAAAUGCCACACUUGUUUUCUAAGUAUUCUAGACUCAUCAAUGCCACUUGUUAGAUCUAUGUCAUGGUGUCACUUUUGUUUACUAAUCCUUCUAGGUUCUUGUCACAUUCAUGCAUACAUAGGGAUUAUCAUUCUCACAUUCUUACAAGUAUUUAACAUGCAUUUGAAUUUACAUCAUGCUAUAAAAAGUUCACAAUUUAAUCCUAUUAUGCAAAAUGCUCAAAUAUGUACAUAUGCUCAAAACAUGACACUUAGACAUAAAGGAAUUUUCGAGGUCCUUGGAAUGCACCACCCACCUGGUGAGCUAUAAGAAAGCGAUCUCGAUAAUCUCCAAGCUCUAUCGAACACCGAAUUCGCAUCCUAUAACCAAGAAAGUGCCCAAAUUAGGCCCUGUACACAUGAACCGUACUUAGACAUUUUCGUUUCGACAAACGGGCUUGUCCAACAUGUCGGGAAUACCCCCAAUUAGAUUUCUACGGGGUCAAUUCGCCCCCGAAAAAUCCUAGGGCAAAAGCCCCAAAUUUGGUGCCCUAACGAAACCCAUUGCUAAACCCUAGGUUUUGAUCUCUAAAACAAGCAAAAGAAAGCUUGUCUAACCUCUGGAAGCUCAUUUAGAACCAUCCCAACCAUCUCUAGGGCUUAGAAUGCAAACCCUAGAAAUCCUCCAUUAGAGCACCGUGAAGAAAACUAGGGUUUCAUGGUGUUCAUGGCUCUAACAUGCUUCUAAAACCUCUAAGAAGCUCAAAACUCCAAAACUUAGGGUUUAAAUCCUAACCCUAGAAGAUAUCUUGCAAAAACUUACCUCUAGUCCCAAGCUCUACCAAGGCCUUCUUGUAGAAGAGCUUCUAGUUCUUCAAAUCCUCCUGAAAUCCCUUCUCCAAGCUCCUUCUCCUUCUUCUCCUUGCUCUAGGGCAACCUUCUAGAGAUAGAAAGAGGAAAAAAUGAGAGAGAGAGGUGUGUGUGUGUGUGUUUGCUGUGAAAAGGGGAGAGGAUUGGUAUAUUUUACAUGUUGCUAUAAUAGCAACUAGGCCCCUCAACUUUCUAUUCUGCAGCAGACCAACCGUUGCUGCCAGAGCCACGGCGUACCGGUACACGGGCUCCCGUACCGGUACGAGGCCGCGCAAAUGCCAACCCGAGAGCAGAGUCCUCUCGAGUGCGCAGGGUUUGUACCGGUAAACGGGGUCUCGUACCGGUACACCACCCAAACUGCCCAGACCCGAGUGCAGCUAGUGCUUGGGUCGCUUGCUGUACCGGUACAACCACCAUAGUGUACUGGUACACAAUGCUCCAGAGUGCUGUUUUGGUUUCGACUCGACUCUAUUUCGCGCCGUUCGAUGCCUAAACCAUUCCAACACUUCUUAAACUCAUUUUUACCCUUCCAACCUUAUUGGAAUGCAAAAUGGAACUUGUCCAACCAUUUGUCUCGGCGCUUUAACCAAUUUGGUUAAAGUUUGAUAAUCGCUAUUGAGGUUUCGAUACGUUACAUUCUCCACCCCUUAAAAUUAGUUUCGUCCGCGAAACUUACUUAAUUUAGACUUAAACUCAUAUCUCAAUUCAGCUCGUUAAAGAGGUGAGGAUAAUGCUCCCGUAUUGCGCUCUCGAGCUCCCAAGUAGCUUUCCGAUCAUCGUGAUUGCACCAACGAAUCUUAACAUACGGAAUCUCGGAUUUCGUAGUUUUCGAUCGAUGAUGUAUGCCGGGAACUCCUCAUAGGUUAUGUGUCACGCCCCGGGACCCAGCGGAAGCCCGCCCGGCGCGUGUCCAGACCCGCCAUAUGUCUACAACAUAUAAGGCGUCUAAAAACAACGAUAAUAAAAGCAAUAAUAAAAGACAUCCAGGAAUAUCAGAGCAUAGUAAAUGUCUAAUAGCUACAACAAGAGAUAUGGAUAAAACUGUAAAACCACUAAAUAAAACAUAAAGCGANUGGCCGGUUCGAAUGCGUCGAACAGACGCCGAACGGACAGAGCCUUCCCUGUCCGCCCAAGGCUCCACAGCAUAUAUCAAUAGAGUAAAAAUUGCAUAAGCGGAAACAUACGCAAUGACUUGCACGAGGGCAAGCAAUAGCCAAUAGUGAAAAUAAUAAACUACACUUAGGAAAUCAAUUACAAUUUUGCAUCAUUUCUUCUCUUUUACAUCGCAUGAUCUCAAAUAUAAAUUCUUGCAUUUAAACAUAAACUCUUUUUACAUUAUUCAUUUAACAUGUUCAUAAUAGUAUAAUCAUCAAGAUACAAAAGAUGAUGUAUAAGUAGAGGGUAUGCGACUACAAAAUGAUAACCACUCGGGAGGUCUCUAACUAGGGCGCGAUGCCCUUACCGCGAUCGUCAGCCGGCUCGCUCGGUCCCCGCUCUAUGGAACUAGGGGUGUGAGAACUACAACAAAGUUUUCAGUGGGUUCGGCAACCAACCACGCCGACUAUCCCACUAGGGUUAAUCAGGCAUAAUAGAAUAGGGGAAAGAAAGUAACUAACUAACAAAUGCAACUAAUAUGUUUGAACAAUGUAAAAUACGAUGCUCGAUAUAAUGCUCAUGAUGAAUGCAGAAUCAUAAUUUCUUUACCCAAUCUCUUGGCUAACCCGUAGGUUUCACCCUCAACAAACUCACCGACCCAAAAUCCUAACAACCGGGGAGAUACCCGCUACAACCCGAUAGGACUGUCCUCUGGGGAGAUACCUACUACAAUCCAGUGAUGUCAAUUCCGGAGCACAUCGCCCGAAGGGGAGCUACCAUCCUCGAGCAAGGACUAAAAUUGAGUACGAUUAAUCCUACAUUGAGGAUUCCAAGUUCAAUCUAUUCCUUAACUUUAAGGAAGACCAUGCUCAAAUGACCCUUAACUCUAAGGUUGAAAUGUCAUAAUGUCUCAAUCAUUCUUUUCUUUACAUUCUUUACUAUCACUAGUGUCAUAUACACUAAUAAGUUCUUGUACUCAUGCCACACUUGUUUUCUAAGUGCUAUGUUCUUGUUCUCAUGCCAAAUGCCACACUUAUUUUUUAAGUGUUCUAAACUCAUCAAUGCCACUCGUUAGAUCUAUGUCAUGGUGUCACUUUUGUUUACUAACCCUUCUAGGUUCUUGUCACAUUCAUGCAUACAUAGGGAUUAUCAUUCUCACAUUCUUACAAGUAUUUAACAUGCAUUUGAAUUUACAUCAUGCUAUAAAAAGUUCACAAUUUAACCCUAUUAUGCAAAAUGCUCAAAUAUGUACAUAUGCUCAAAACAUAACACUUAGACAUAAAGGGAUUUCCGAGGUCCUUGGAAUGCACCACCCACCUGGUGAGGUAUAAGAAAGCGAUCUCGAGAAUCUCCAAGCUCUAUCGAACACCGAAUUCGCGUCCUAUAACCAAGAAAGUGCCCAGAUUAGGCUCUUUACACAUGAACCAUACUUAGACAUUUUCGUUUUGACGAACGGGCUUGUCCAACGCGUCGGGAAUACCCCCAAUUAGGUUUCUACGGGGUCAAUUCGCCCCCAAAAAAUCCUAGGGCAAAAGUUCCAAAUUUGGUGCCCUAACCAAACCCAUUGCUAAACCCUAGGUUUUGAUCUCUAAAACAAGCAUAAGAGAACUUGUCUAACCUCUGGAAGCUCAUUUAGAACCAUCCCAACCAUCUCUAGGGCUUAGAAUGCAAACCCUAGAAAUCCCCCAUUAGAGCACCAUGAAGAAAACUAGGGUUUCAUGGUGUUCAUGGCUCUAACAUGCUUCUAAAACCUCUAAGAAGCUCAAACUCCAAAACUUAGGCUCCGUUUGGAUCGGGAAUUAGUAGGAACUAGUUAUACCGGGAAUAGGUACAAGUAUGAGUUUUUGUAGGAAUAAGGAUAUUUUUUUGUUUGGAUGAAAUUGUGAGUAUAAGCUGGAACUAGAAAAAUUGUGUUUGGAUGGUUUUUGAGAAUAAGAGGAAUAGUUGGUAGUUAUAAAUAGAAAAUAAUAAUAUUAUCCCUAUAAUUGAAUUUUAAACUUAUAAUUUUAAAUUUUAAAUUUUAACUUUUAAAUUUAAAUUAGAAAUUAAAAUUUUAAAUUUUAAUAUUAAAAAUAUUAAUUUUAAAUAUCAAAUUUUAAAUUUCAGACCAAAUUUAAAUUUCAAAGAUAUAAAAUAACAAAUUUAAAAUUUAAACUUUAAUAAAAUUUAAAAUUUGAAAACUUAAAAAUAUCAAAUUUAAAAUAUCAAAUUUAAAAUUUAAACUUUAAUAAAAUUUAAAAUUUGAAAACUUAAAAAUAUCAAAUUUAAAAUAUCAAAUUUAAAAUUUAAACUUUAAUUAAAUUUAAAAUUUUAAUUUUUAAAAUUUUAAUUUUAAAUAUCUAAUUUUAAAUUUAGGACCAAAUUUAAAUUUGAAAGAUAUAAAAUAUCAAAUUUAAAAUUUAAACUUUAAUAAAAUUUAAAAUUUGAAAACGUAAAAAUAUCAAAUUUAAAAUUUAAAAUUUUAAAAUAUCAAAUUUAAAAUUUAAAAUUGUAAUUUAUUAAUUAUAAUUAUAAAAUUAUAAAUUUUAAAAAUCUCUCUCUCUUUCUCUCUCUCUCUCUCUCUCUCUCUCUCUACUCAAGUGGGUUGGAACAAGCUUGGGAACAAGCUUGUUCCAACCCCGGGUGGGAACAAGUGUUCCCACCAUAACGGGUUGUACCUGGUACAACCCGUUAUGGUCGGAACACUUGUUCCCACCAUUUUUUUUUUUGUUUGGGUAUAAAGGGGGGGAUAUCCCCCUUAUCCCCCCCUUUAUACCCGAGCCAAACGGAGUGUUAGGGUUUAAAUCCUAACCCUAGAAGAUAUCUUGCAAAAACUUACCUCUAGUCCCAAGCUCUACCAAGGCCUUCUUGUAGGAGAGCUUCUAGUUCGUCAAAUCCUCCCGAAAUCCCUUCUCCAACUCCUUCUCCUUCUUCUCCUUGCUCUAGGGCAACCUUCUAGAGAGAAAAAGGAAGAAAUGAAAGAAAGAGGUGUGUGUGUGUUUGCUUUGAAGAGGGGAGAGGAUUGGUAUAUUUUACAUGUUGCUACAAUAGCAACUAGGCCCCUCAACUUUCUAUUUUGCAGCAGACCAACCCUUGCUGCCAGAGCCAUGGUGUACCGGUACAUGGGCUCCCGUACCGGUACAAGGCCACGCAGAUGCCAACCCGAGAGCAGACUCCUCUCGAGUGCGCAGGGUUUGUACCGGUACACGGGGUCCCGUACCGGUACGCCACCUAGACUGCCCAGACCCGAGAGCAGCUAGUGCUCGGGUCGCUUGCUGUACCGGUACAACCACCAUGGUGUACCGGUACACAAUGCUUCAGAGUGCUGUUUUGGUUUCGACUCGACUCUAUUUCGCGUCGUUCGAUACCAAAAUCAUUCCAACACUUCUUAAACUCAUUUUUGCCCUUCCAACCUUGUUGGAAUGCAAAAUGGAACUUGUCCAACCAUUUGUCUCGGCGCUUUAACCAAUUUGGUUAAAGUUUGAUAAUCGCUAUUGAGGUUUCGAUACGUUACAUUCUCCACCCCUUAAAAUUAGUUUCGUCCGUGAAACUUACUUAAUUUAGACUUAAACUCAUACUUCAAUUCAGCUCGUUAAAGAGGUGAGGAUAAUGCUCCCACAUUGCGCUCUCGAGCUCCCAAGUAGCUUCCCGAUCAUCGUGAUUGCACCAACGAAUCUUAAUAUACGGAAUCUCGCGAUUUCGUAGUUUUCUUACUUUUCGAUCGAUGAUGUAUGCUGGGAACUCCUCAUAGGUCAUGUCCUCUUGAAUCUCGGACGGUUCGAACGAGAGGACAUGAUCGGGGUCGUGAACAUACUUGCGGAGAUUCGAUACAUGAAAUACAUCGUGCACUCCCACAAGCCUCGGUGAUAAUGCUAUCUUGUAGACCACCGCACCAACGCAUUCCAAUAUCUCGAACGGUCCAAGAUACCGGGGACUUAGUUUCCCACGGACUCCAAACCGUUUAAUUUCUCGCAUCGGCGAUAUCUUUAAGAACACGUGGUCUCCAACGGCAAACCCUAUGUCUUUCCUCCGUCUGUCGGCAUAGCUCUUCUGCUGAAACUGCCCCGUAGCAAGUCGUUGGCGGGCUAGGCGAAUUUUCUCCUCCGCCUCCCGCACUACAUCCGGGCCAAGAGCAGCUCUCUCGCCCACAUCGCUCCAAUGAAUUGGGGAGCAACACUUCUUUCCAUAAAGGGCCUCGAAUGACGCCAUUGCGAUACUUUCUUGAUAGCUGUUAUUGUACGCGAACUCCGCCAGUGGUAGAUGAUCGUGCUAACUGCCCUUGUAGUCCAGUACACACGCUCGGAGCAUAUCCUCAAGUAUUUGUAUCGUCCUUUCCGAUUGACCAUCACUCUGAGAAUGAAAUGCCGUGCUAAAAUCGAGCCGUGUGCCCAAAGCCUCUUGUAGGCUCCUCCAAAAAUGAGAUGUGAAUCUCGGGCCCCGAUCCGAUACAAUUGACACCGGAACCCUGUAAAGCCUCACAACCUCGUCAAUAUAAACCUGAGCCAACUUGUCCCCCGACUAUGUAAUAUGAAUCGGUAGGAAAUGUGCCGACUUCGUCAACCGGUCUACUAUCACCAAAAUUACAUCGUGUCCCCCUCGAGAUCGAGGCAAUCCGGUCACGAAGUCCAUUGCGAUAUUUUUCCAUUUCCAAACGGGUAUAGGUAGACUUUGCAAUUUUUCCGCCGAAAAACGCCGCUCCGCUUUUACCUGUUGGCAGGUAAGACAUUGCGCAACAAACUCCCCAAUGUCCUUCUUCAUGCCCGGCCACCAAUAGUGCAAUUUCAAAUCUUGAUACAUUUUGGUGCCGCCCGGAUGUAUAUUAUAAGGAGAUUGGUGCGCUUCUUGCAUAAUCGCCCUGCGGAUGUCCUUGUUCUUAGGUACACACCAACGGUUUCUAAAUCGGAGUGCACCGUCGGUCCCAAUGCCAAAACCAUCGGCACUACCGUUCUUAACUUCACCGCGCACCUUUUGGAGAUACUCAUCGGAAGCUUGCAGUUCUUUUAUCCUCUCCAACAAGGUCGGUUGCACCACUAACGCGGCUAGUGUAGCCGGCACUCCCGGUGCCACUACUUCCAAACCAAGCCGUUGCGUCUCUUUUUGCAAUAAUAGUUGGGGUGUAAUUGCCGAAGCCAAAUUUUUUUUCGAUUUUCUACUAACUGCAUCGGCCACGACAUUCGCCUUCCCGGGGUGGUAUAGAAUAGUAACAUCAUAGUCUUUUAGCAAUUCCAACCACCGCCGUUGUCGCAUAUUUAGCCCCCUUUGGGUGAAUAAGUACUUAAGACUUUUGUGAUUCGUAUAGAUCUCAUAAUGUUCCCCGUAUAAGUAAUGCCUCUAUAACUUUAGCGCGAAAAUAACAGCCGCUAGCUCAAGAUCGUGAAUCGGGUAGUUCUUCUCAUAAGUCUUCCAUUGGCAUGAAGCAUAUGCUAUAACUCGACCGUUUUGCAUCAAAACACACCCGAUUCCAACGUAGGAAUCAUUACUAUAUACCACAAAGGUCUCCCCCAGCGUCGGUAGAGCAAACACCGGGGUCGUGGUCAAUCUUUUUUUUAAUUCCUCGAAGCUUCGCUCGCAUUUGCGGCUCCAAACAUACUUCACCUCUUUGUGUGUAAGGCGCGUUAGUGGAGUAGUUAUUUUAGCAAACCCCUCCACGAACCGCCGGUAUUAGCCCGCUAGCCGAAGGAAACUGCGGACUUCCGAUAUGCUCGUCGGGCGAGGCCAAUCUCUAAUUGCCUCAAUUUUCUUCGGGUCCACCAAGAUACCAUCGCCCGAAAUUACAUGACCAAGGAAAGUGACCUCCGAUAGCCAAAAGUCGCAUUUCUUCAACUUGGCNNNNNNNNNNNNNNNNNNNNNNNNNNNNNNNNNNNNNNNNNNNNNNNNNNNNNNNNNNNNNNNNNNNNNNNNNNNNNNNNNNNNNNNNNNNNNNNNNNNNGCCAAGUCGGUGUUGGGGUUGUCCUGGAUAUCCAACCACCAACGGUAGGCCUUGCCGUCCAGAAAGUGAGUGGCGAGCCAAAUUCUAUCCCGCUCCUCCACAAAGGUGUCUCGAAACAGCUUCUCCAUAUGCAUCAACCAUUUUUCGACAAUCCAGUGGUCGAUGUUCUCACCAUCAAACGUCCUCGGGUUGCACCUCCUGAACUCACUGAGGCGCUCCAUGAGCCGAUCCCGCUCGGCUCCCUCGGCCAUCACGGAAAAUGCCGCCCCCGUCACUGGUCUCUGAAAAGGUAGUGCUGCAGCCACCUCCUCCCGAGGUGCGGUCGCCAGUGCCGCACGUGAAGAACUGGGCGCGGGGGACUGCGCCCUCGGUGCUACGUCAACCACGGGUGCUGGCGGUGUGGGACCCUGGGUCUCCCUCGAAGCUGCCNNNNNNNNNNNNNNNNNNNNNNNNNUAGGCUAACUCCGGAGUGCCGGCUUGUAGGGAGCGACCCUCACAAGCAUGUGCGAAUGAGCACAAAUGGCAAGCAAGCAUAGUCCAAGUCUCAAAUAUCCAAUCCUCAUGUCUCUAACAUGGUAUCAUAACUAGCAUCCCGAAGAUCUAGUCUAAGUCAUAAGAUGAAGUUCCAACAUUCAUUACGCCUAGUGCCCCUUGAUGACACUUAGACAAUCUAAUGUUCAACAUAUACCCAAUCCCUCAAUGGCUCUAACCACUAGGUUCACACAUGUCCCGAGCUCAAUGCCGCUUGAUGACAUUAGCUCUCCAAUUCACAUACAUUCUAGUUCGAUAGCUCUAUAUGGCAAUUUUGUCAACUUUCAUGUCCCAAAUAAACUUAGGUUUAAAUGCAUGAAUCCAAUCUCACUUACACUAUAGGAGGAUGGAACCACGUCUCAUAUAGAAUGCUAAGAGCAACUAUAGGCCUACCAAGCUACUCUCUACUACAUAGAGGUCCAAAAUUUCAUCAUAUAUAACAUAGGCCUUUUAAGCAUUCUAAAAUUCACAAUAAAUACAUAUAACAAGAAUAUGCAUGCUUUUUCAUUUAACAAUACUUCAUUAAACACAAAUGAGAAUUUCUCAUUGUGUGGCUAGGUCAAACCCACCGAACCGUCGCGUAGGGCCUCGUUUCGCCGAACAAAGUUGCCCCAGAGUCUCAAAAUACCCUAAGAGCCCGUUUGGUUCGAGUUAUGUAAUAUUACAAAGUAUCUCGACAUAUCCAGGUAUCUUGGAUUUCGGCGUGAGAUUACUACUGAUGCUGCAUUAGAGCGUUUGGUUUAAUACAGUAAUGUAAUACUAGAUUACAGUGUUUAUAGCAUUAAUAUGUUUGAUUCAGUUUAUAAAAUUUAGUAAUCCUAAUAUAAAAAUAUAGUUUUUUCCAAAAUUGUCCUUGUUGUGAUGAUUUGAAUAUUAUUUUUUGCGGAAAUGACGAAUGGAGGGAAGGAGAUCGUGAUGAUUACUUGGGAGGACGACGUAAUAGAAGAUGAUAGGUGUUCGUGCGCGCGCGCGCGCGCGAGAGACGUCGAGAGACGUCGAGAGAGAGAGAGAGAGAGAGAGAGCGAGAGAAAGCGGCGUGCGAGAGAGAGGGCCGGGGAGAAGGCGAGAAAGAGAUGAAAAUAAUGCUGUUAAUUAGAUUUGUGAUUGUUGGAGGUAAAAUUAUUAUUUUACACAAUAUGUAGUAUUAACGGGUUUCAGUAAUGCAAGAUACACAACCCCCCUCCCGUUAAUAUUUUCGAUGUAAUCCUACUCGAUUUGUAAUGCUACAUUAACGACUAGAUUACAUAGUGGAUUAACCAAACACAGUUAUCCUGACAGGAUUGCCUGUAAUCCUGUCAGGAUAACUCGAACCAAACACACCAUAAAAGUAAUCAGCGAAGAGAUACGAGAGCAUUACGACCAACCAAGAGAUCAAACAUUAACCUAUAAGCAAAAAGGGCCAAAAUUCACCUCAAGAGGAGAAAAUCUCUCUCAAGCUCCAAAAGAGAGCUAAAUCCCUUCCAAUCCAAGCCCAAGAAAGGUUCUAAUCCAACCAAUCUAGCCCCAAAAGCCCUAGAUGAAAAAGCCCCAAAAAUCAACCCUAAUACCCAAUCUAGGGUUUUAAAUGGUAAAACCUACCAAAUCAAGGAUCAAAGGGUAGAAUCCAAGUACUAACCUCCCAAGAUGCCUCCAAACAAGCUCCAAAUCUUCUAGGGUUGAAGAUUGAUCCACCACCAAACCCUACAAGCAAGCUCCAAGCCUUGCAAAGGUGGGAAAGAGAGAAAGGGGUUGAGCUCCAAGCUCCCUCAAGCUAGCUCCUCUUCUUCUUCUCCUCCUUCUUCUUCUUCUUCUCUCUCUAGAAAGUGUAGGGAGAGGGUGAGAAUGAGAAAAUGAGAGAGGGAAGAGGAGGAAAUGGCUAAUAAGCCCAUCUAGUGUAACAAAAUCCGGAGAGGCCCCUCAAAAUUUCAAUAUUACCCCAGCCCGGUCUGGGCAGUUUUCGCCCAAAGGGACCGGUCUCUCCCCAGUAGGAACCGGUCUCUCGCUGCGAACCCGAAGAACCAACGUUCGGGAACCGGUCUCUCCCCGCGCGGGACCGGUCUCUCUCUGCGAAGGCGCGCUCGGGGACCGGUCUCGCCCGCCAGGGACCGGUUGCCUCAGGGCUGCCGCAGCACUGUUCACUGGGGGACCGGUCUCUCCUAUCAGGGACCGGUCCCUGAGAGCAAAAACUCUCAAGACUUGUCCAGAAUUCCAGUUUUUGAACUUUUUAGGUCUGAAAACAUUCUACGACCCUCCACCAAGUGUGGAAAAGCUCGAAACACAUCCAAACACUCGAACCUCGCAAUUUGGAAAGGUCCAGUGUAUUACACGUGCCCGGGUCGGCCCAAAUUGGUAUCAGUCCAGGGGCGUGACAUGAUCACUGUGAUCAGCACUGACCAGUGAUCGCCGUGCUCACCUCCGUAGGCAUUGGGAUAGCCUCUGGUCGCUGGAAAAAUAAGCACAAACUCAAAACUAUGCACAUGCAGCACUAAAUAAAGGUCACCGGGCAGAGAGGGCUCGGAUCCAACCGGCGGCGACUCGACGGCGGGAGCGUCAGCGACAGGGGGGUGCGGCCGGUGGGGGAAGGUCGCCGCUCACGCGAGUUGCCGGCGGCAGGUAGUCGGAGGGGCGGGCGGCGAUGCCCUAGGAGAAGGGAGGCAGCGAGCGACGGCGGCGGCGGCACGCAGCUCAGGCGUGGCCACCCGAGCUUGGCUCGGUCUUAGGGCCGCAGCGGCAACGCCCUAGGCUUGCGGCUGCGCCAAUCGCACGGACCGGAAGUGGGGGUGCCGGAGGGCCACGAGGGUGGUUGCCGGUGCAGCUUCGGGCAGUGGCGGUGCUGGGGAAAGAAAGCAGCUUAGCUCGGCCCGAGCUUGUCCAGGGAGACUGCAGGGCUGCAGCAGCGCGGCAGUGGUGAUCGGGGUAGCUGAGGCUAGUAGGGGAGAUCAUCGGGGCUCCGGGGGAGGCGACUUGAGCGACCUCAGGCGGCGGUGGCGCGAGGGGAGGGAGCUGAAGCUCCAUCGGCCCGAGCUGCCACAACUUGGCUGCAGAGUGGUUGCAACGCGGCAGUGGCAUUCGGGGGCAGCAACGACCGGCCGUGGGAGGUCGCCGGAGCUCAGGGGUGAUGCCGUAGUGGGGCUAGAGGGAGGGGAGUGCCGAGCACCACCUUCAGCCAAAGAAGACAAGCAGGAAAGUAGUGGAGGAGACAAAAAAGAAGGAGGAAGUGGCUGAGGCUGCGGCUGCCGGCCGCGGUUCGGUCUGUUGCGGCCGGAAGGCGCGCGGCGCACGAGGUGAGGGGGAAGAGGCGGCUGGGAGUCAGCUGGGGGCUAGGGUUAGAGUUUGCAUUGUGCAAAUCCCUAGAAAACUAUAUAUACAAAACUCUAAAUUGAGCAAAAGCCCCUGAAAAUCCGAUAUUUAACACUAAGUCCCUCACAGCACAAGUAAAACGCGCAAACCCACUCUUACAUUCAAAUUCACGCAAAACAGUACAUAAAAUGUAGAGCUUAUCGCAAAAUUACCGUUUUUCCAUCUAAGACCCCUUCUCGAUCAAUGCACGAUAUCAAGAGAUCCGUCCAUCAGAUUUGCAAACGGAUCGCACCAGUUCGAUUAGCAUGACAGAGACAUCAAACCCCCAAUUUUGUUUCGCCUGAUUUGGUCGCGGAUUCGCAACGAAACCCAUUCUUUCUCCGAUAGGCAAAGCCACACACAAAUACAUAAAAUAUUUGUAUAUCCAGUUUUCUCGAAAUUCGCACGCCAAACCUAAAAUCCGUCAGCGCCAAUGGUUCCAGGAUAGUUGAACCAUUGAAAACGAGCUAUUGGAUCACUAUGAAUGGAGUCCGAUACGCGCCAGAAGCCAUCUCUACACCGUGGCCUCUCCGGAAAAUCAGGUUACUAUUCACUUUAAGUGAAAAGUAAAGUUCACGUAAAAUCUCCAUUGUAACUCAUUUUCCCCCGAAACAUGGCGAGUACUUUUGUAAUUAAAAUACAUACAAAAGCAUCGUCAACAAAGAGUUUAAUUAUGUUGCGAAAUCUCAGUCCUUACAUGUCAGGACCACAGAUAUUGAGUUUUAUCGAGAUAAGUUAUAUCAGCAGAGAGAGUCCCAGGUACAUAUUAAUGCAACCAUCUUUUUCAAUAUUAUACAAACGUAUUAAUGCAUCCAGCUGACUAUUGGCUUGUUCACAUAUUAUAUGGAGGCCGUACACAGAUGCUAUUAUAGUCACGCUACUGGCAUUUUGUGUACAGGGCAGUUAGGUCUGCCGAUCGAGAACUAUGUUGAUUUAUUUUCAUAUUGUAGAGAUGCAUGUACCGAAUCGAGUCCUACGACGGUUUGGUCUUCUCUGGCCAUCAUAUACCCAUUAACAUGGAGACCAUCCAUUAUGUGACUUCUCAGGGGCGGCAAGACGAGGAUUGGACAAUCUUUCAUGCUGCACACAUCGAGAGAUAGGGAAAGAGAUUACAAAAAUUUUCGACCACCUGUCGAUUGUGUCACACCCCAAUAAUCCCACAUCAGAUAUGAAUGGAGAUGUGAUUGGGUAUAUAAGAAACUUAGACGCUAGUAAUAAUAACUGGACUUAAGCAUUUUAGGCCGGUGGUUGGGCCUAACGAGUUAUUAUUGCUAGUGGGCUGGGUCGUUAUAUUUGGUAUCAAAGCUAGUUUACCAGUCAAAAAUGUGUGGCGAGUCUUUGCUGAGUCAAGGUCUAAAAGACAAGGUGAUAGGCUAUGCCGGAGUCUGAAUGACAAGGUAACCAGCUAUGCCAGGGUUUGGAUGACAAGACUAGCGAGACAAGUCUCACAUCGCCUGGUGAUCUUGGACAGUGUGUGUGAUUGGACUGACGAGGACGUUAGGGCCUUAACGGAGGGGAGUCUAUCACACCCCAACAAUCCCACAUAGGAUAUGAAUAGGGAUGCGAUUGGAUAUAUAAGAAACUUAGACAUUAGUAAUAAUAACUGGGCUUAAGUAUUUUGGGCCGGUGGUUGGGCCCAACGAGUUAUUAUUGCUAGUGGGCUCGGUCGUUAUAGAUUGUUGGUAAUAAUCCAAUACAGGCUUCCUCCAUUUACAUGCAGUGGUAUUGGGCGAUAACGAGGAGAUGGAUUUCUCGUCCAAUACAGCGUCCUUCGUUGACUUUCCAGCCUCAUGGGCAGACCGAGAGAGUUUUGAUAUAAUUAGUCAUAUAUUAAUUAUUAUUUUAAUUUUAUAAUUAAUAUAAAUUAGAAAAAAUAAGUUUUUAUCUAUAAUGCACGUGGACGCAUUAUGAUAGACUCACUACAGUAUCAGACAGCUAGUUGAUGAUCCCCCUGCGACCCAUACGAUGCUAGAGACUCUGACGGGCAUCUGUGCCGAUAUUGAGACGGUACUGGAGUAUGUUCUUGCUAUACCUAUUAUUAGGGAUACAAGAGGUCGAGAUUUUGCUCACGCCUCGACAUCCGGUCAUCAGAUGCGACAGUCUCCGUCUUCUAUUGGAUCUCAUUCGACAUUGAGCUAGUGAGUGUCAUAGUCUCCAUCUCCCACUGACGUUGGAGUUAUACCUAACGCCCUUUCGACAUUUUUCUUUGACGUUUGACUAGCUUCUGCCACCAGUGUCGCGUAUGUAUUUUAGAUCCAUGUAUUCUCGUCGUCGUGGCCUGUCAUCAUCACAGCACCGCCCAGCAUCUACAUCGGCCCCUAUCAAGGGUGAUCGACCAGUGCCAGAGGAGACUCAGGCAAUUCCAGAGUAUCAUAAGGGCAUCAUUAUCGCGGAUCUUGAUCAGAUGGCAAGUAUUGAGCCACUUGAUGACGGACCUCCUGUUGAGCUCGAUGUUGAUCGUAGGUGUAGAUGUGGACGUGGGCGUGCACGCGGAUGUGGCCGAGGACGUCGAGGGAGAGGAAGAUCUCAAGAAUGACAUUAUAUGAUUUAGAUCGAAUACGUUGUAUAACAUGUCAAUAUUAUAUACCUCUUUAUUUAGUUCAUAUUUGUAUAACUUUCUAUAUUUUUGUUGAUAUUCCUAUUCUAUUUGUUGUAUCUUGUUGUUCUUCUCGUCUUGUUGUUUUUCUUGCUGAAAUUUUUUUCCUUGUGAAAAUUCUUGCUCCAAACUUGUAAAACUUGUUGUUAAAGACUUUAGAAAAAAAAGGGUGGAUCAGUUUGCAUUAAAGACGAUAAACCAUUCACUGCAUUCAAGAAGACGGUAAAUAGUUCACCGUCUUAUCUAUGUUUCAAUGCCAAGAAAUUCUUCUCUGAAAUUUGUAGGGUUGUACUAAAGGCAGUGAAUGGUUCACCGUCUUAAUGAAGGCGGUGAACCAUUCACCGUCUUAUCUAUGUUUCAAUGCCAAGAUCAAGGACUUAGAAAAUCUUUUCCGAAUUUGUAGAGUUACACUAAAUGCGAUGAAUGAUUCACCGCCUUAGUGAAGGCGGUGAACCAUUCACCGUCUUCAGUCUAAAUAUUACAAAGACGGUGAUUCGUUUACCACCUUAGUGAAGACGGCGAACGAUUCACCGUCAUUCACCGUCUUCAGGGGAAAUAGCUGAUCUGGUGCCUACGUGGUGAAAAGAGGGUUAACUUUUUAAAUAUAAAUUUUAGAAGAUUAUUUCACAAUUUAUAAAUUUUAAGAGAAUUAUUUUGUAAAAAAGUUCCAAAUAUGUCCCAAAAUAGAGGAAAAUGAGAUUGGCUUCGAAACGCCAUGUGGUUAGAAAGCCGUUGGCACAUUUUCACAUUUUGGUGCCACCUGUCACGGACUUAGUGUUUUUGUUCGCAAAAUCCGUGCGGCGCCCACCUUUCCUGCUUGAAGAUGGACAAGCCUUUGUCCCUAUUGCUAGCCCGGACCUUCGCGUCCUACUACUAAGUAUGCAAAGGAAUGAAACAAAAGAAAGAGGCAGAGAUUCUCUCAAAAAGCUAAGUACUACACUACUUAGAAAAUGAGAAUUACAGCAUACAAACAUACUAUCUCUUGUGUGUUUUGGCCUUAGCCAACCCUACUAUUUCUAGGCUAAAUGAUAUAUUGAAUCUAGCCACAUAACUCACCCACUAUCUCAUAGUAAUAAGCCCUCAUAAUAGCCAAAAGUCAAAGAGUCACACCAUAACUCCCAUGAGUUUCAUAACUCUUGAUGUCACGACUCGAGACCGCUACCAAUUUGGCACGGCUCGGGCGCGUCGAACAGACGCCGAACGGACAGCACCUCCCCUGUCCGCCCAAGGCCAACAACCCGAUCAUGUACAAGAAUUUGCCCAGGAAAUAGGAAUUCAUACAUACACGAUUACGAGGGCACAAACAGUGCCAACAAACAAAGAGCAAGAAUCCACAAGCAUAUACAAGUGAAAUAAAGAGAGCUUUUACUAACUAUUACAUCCAUUCGUUCACAAUUUAAGGCUCUUUUACAUUUACAUCACAUCGUUCCCAAAAUGAAUACAUAAUCAUUUUUCCAAAUACAUAGGUGGCUCUCCCAAAAUAUAAAGCAUCUAGAUACAUAAGGGUACUCUAAUGCAAAAGGAAAGCUACUAUGCUACAGCUCGGGCGCUAUGCCCUUGCCGCGGUCCUCGCCCGGCGCACUCGUACUAGGCCCUGCAACAAAGUGGGGUGAGAACUAUUGUCCAUAGUUCCCAGUGGGUUCGGCCGCCGACUCCGCCGAUCUCCCCACUAGGUCCGAGUGGGCAAAAGCAGAUAGAUAGAUAGAUAGAUAUCAAAGCUGUAAAUGCAAUAGUAGGAAAACUAUGCUACUAUGCCCAAUCAUAUGNUGUCAUAUAUGCAUGCAUCAUAUAGUAAAAGGUUUACUAACAUGCUACUACGUCCACUAUACAUGUCCAACAAGCAAAUGUUCAAGUAACAAUGCUAUUCUCAUGUUCAAUCAAUCCUUGGCGAUCCACUUGAGUUCGCCCACGACUCACCUCAAACCUCGUAUGGUAAGGAGACGCACCUCGCUCUCAAACCCGAGGCCGCCUGCAGGGCAUCAACUCUGCUCCUGUCGCACCAUACUCCGGAGUGCACGAAGACCCGGGUGGUGCGACCACCACAAGUAUGAACAGACUGUGAGCAUGAUCAAUCCUCUCAACUCGAGGAUACCCUAUCAACUGUAGGGUUACAAGUCACUAGGGAAUCCACCUAUCCCAAAGUCCAAAUACAAUGUUUGGCUACAUUAUAUUCUUGUCCAACGAGUCAUUUACUAGAGAAUUCACCUGUCCCUAAGUUCACAUGCCACUAGUGUCAUUAUACACUACAUUAUAUGCCACUCAUUCUUGUUUAUUUAACAGUCAAUGCCACUCAUUACGUCUUUAACAAUCAUCAAGUUCAUCUCUUUUCUCGGCACUAUAGAAUUCAAUGUCAAGAUCCAAUCCUCAUCUAACCAUCACCAUGCAUUCAACUCAUACAUAGAUAUCAUUAGCAAGCAUAAGGAAAGGAAUCACAUGCAAUUCUACAAUGCUACAUGCAAGAAAUGCAAAUCGUGAAGUUCUAAGACAUAGAGAGGAACCCGGUUGCUUCGGGAUGACACCACCCACCUUUCGACGAUGUCGGGGUGCUAGAAUCACUUCUCGGCACUUGUUACGACGAAAUCUCCACCUCCAAGAAGAAAAUGAAGCUUGCUCGGCCUUGUUUUGCCGAUAACUUUUCACCGGCUCGACGAAUGCUCAAUCUGUCAUCGCCAACGCGUUUAGACACCUAACAAUUAGAUUUAGAUGCCCUUAAAUGAGAUCAAUUUCAUAGAUUUCCAAAAACCCCAAAUUGGAGCCCUAGGUUUGCAUCCAUGCAAAAUGCUCCAACAAAAUUCUAAAUUCUAGCAUUAAUCAACUAUUUAGCAUGCUAGGAGUCCAUUUGACCCAUUUACAAAGCUAGAAAUCCAAUCCCUAGGUUCCUACCAUUGUUGAGCUCAAAAGCUUACCUCUAAGCUAGCUCCAAUGGUGUGAGCAGGAAGAGGAGAUGGAGAUGAUCUCUUCCCAAGCUUGCUUCUCCUUCUUCUCCUUUUUCUUUGCUUCAAGAGAGAAGGGAGAGAGCUAAGAGAGAGAGAGAGUGUGUGUGUUUGGGGUGGAAAUGAGAGAGAAAAGAGGGCCCAACCCCUCUAUGCCCCUCAACUAAUGGCAUAAUUACAGCCAAGCCCCUCUACUUUGCACUCUGUGCACUGCUUGGAUUGGGCAGUUUUCGCGCCCAGGGACCGGUCUGUCCCUUAAGGGACCGGUCCCCGAGAGCAGUCCAUGCAGGCAGAGGGCUCUGCCCAACUCCUACGCGCACGGGGAAGGGUCUUCCUCGCCAGGGAUCGGUUUCCGAGAGCAACACUCUCAGGCUGCGUUUGGUUCGGGUAUAAGUAAGAACUGCUAGUUCCAGGGAUAGGUACAAGUUCAGAUAUAAACAAGAACUAGACCAAUUUUGCGUUUGGAUGAAAAUUGGGUUGUUUCUAGGAAUAAGGUAAAUAGUGUUUGGAUGUUUAGAUUGGAAAAAGAGGAAUAACAAUUAUAAUUUGAAAUUAAAAUUAUAUUAUGUAAUUAAUUAACAUCAAAAUAUUAUUUAAAAAUAAAUAAUAAAUUAAUUAUUAAUAAUUAAUUAUAAAUAAUAAUAAUUAUUAGUAAUUAAUUAUAAAUAAUAAAUUAAUAAUAAUAUUGAUUAUCUAAUUAUUAAUAAUAAUUAAUAUUAAUAUUCAUUAAUAAUUAUUAAUAAUUAAUUAUAAAUAAUAAAUUAAUAAUAAUAUUGAUUAUCAUUAAGAAUAAUAAUUAUUAAUAAUUAUUAAUAAAUAAUAAUAAAUAAUAUUAAUUAUUAAUAAUUAAUUAUAAAUAAUAAUAAUUAUUAGUAAUUAAUUAUAAAUAAUAAAUUAAUAAUAUCGAUUAUCUAUUUAAUUAUUAUUAUUAUUAUUAAUUAUUAAUAAAUAAUAAUAAUUAUUAAUUAUUCUUAUUAAUUAAUUAUAAAUAAUAAAUUAAUUAAUUAAUUAAUUAUUAAAGCAAUAAAUAAUGAUUUAAAUAUAUUAAUUAGAUUAAUUAAUAAUGUACUGCCAUUAAAAUUAAAUUUAGAUUUUAAUUAACCUUGUUCUCAUCAAGGAACAAGCUAGUUCCAGGAAACGGGUGGAACAGCAGUUCCAGCCUUAUACCAGCUUGUUCCAGAAACCCGGAAACUACUGUUCCCGGGAACCAAACAUACCGUUUGGGAACAAAGGGGGGAACAAGGGCUUAUUCCCCUCUUUAUUCCUGAACCAAACGCUACCUCAGGACUUAGCCGAUUUUCCACUUCUCUUCACUGGCUGCGCGUACGGGGACCGGUCUUCGACUGAGGGACUGGACCUUCAGGGACUGGUCCUCGCCCGAGAGACUGGACCCUGAGAGCAAAUAUCGCGCGCAGAGUUCUCUGUCUCGUUUUCAGCUUACGGGGACCGGUCUCUCCCGCCAGGGACUGGUCCCAAGAGCAGAAUUUGCCAAGUGCAGAUUUCGCACUGUUUGCUCUCGCGGAUCCAACUCCAAUGCACUUUUUGUGUUUUGGACACCUUCGGCUUUUCCGAAGCCUACCCACUCGACAAUUAGUUGAUUCUGAGCGAAAUCUAACUCUUGGAUUUCGAAAAUUUAUUUUCUUACACUUGAGUUUUCCAUAAUGGAUUGGGUUUGGAUCUCCUUAAUAAUCCGAUUCAAUCUGUUUUCAACCCGUUUCGCUAGCAGCCAGGACCGGGCUGCUUAGAAUUUUUUCUAAGUCCCCGACAAGCCGCCGUUUGGGAUAGUAAUUCUUCUGGUCCACCGCUCAUCAGCGUGCGUAAGCAGCUCCAAAGCUAACGUCUGAGAGCGCCGAUGACGAUCGAGCUCCUACCCUCCAUCCGUCUCAUCUGCAUCCCACUCACAUCUCGAGCUUUUCUUCUUCCUCCCCCUCCCUCCUCUCUCCGUCUCCUGUCAAAUUUCGUGAGGAACCCUCGAGGCGCGAGAAUCCUCCUUACUCCAUGGAAGCUGGGUCCGCUCGAACCACCUCGGAGGAGGGUCUCAGUGAGCUGCUCCUCCUCCUCCUCCUCCUCCUCGGCCGAGCACCGAGACGGCGGAGGAAUGGCCUGGUGGGCUUCUUGGAUUCCUCGCGGAGGCAGCGGCAGCUUUGUCGCCCCCGAGAGGAUUCUGAGGCUCAUCUCGGGCGCCACUUCGAGCCCCAUCUGUCAGUUCGUUGACUCACCUCGCACCUUCCUCCACUUUGUCGACCCACGGAUCAAAUUGGUAUGUGGGCAUUUUUGCUCUUGGCUAUUUUCCGUUGUUCCCAAGAUAAGGUCAAGUGUUUUCUACCAUGUAUUUUAUUUAAUUACUUUGUAGGAUUACUUCUUAGUGAUUGACACAGGCUUAGCAUGAUAAUGCUUAAUCAAAGGAAGCAGCUGUGGCUGCAUGCAUCACUGAAACGAGAUAUGAGCGUCCAAGCAAGCUCUGAUGGGUGUGGUUGGUAGAAAAUUUCGCUGGCACACAUGGUGCUAUCCGAGUUGUCUGCCGACGGGUUUGUCGUUCCAUGCUAAAGGCGUGAUUUGACUUGAGUUCAGAUGCAGACUGGAGAGGGAACUGUUUGCUCGGGUUUGAGCUCAAGGAAAGGCCUCAAGAUCUUUGCCAGUGCGAGUCGAAGGUUCAAUGCUUUGGCUUCUGAGCUUUGGCUGCUGUUCGGGUUGAAGUGGCGAACCGGACUGCUGUACAGCAACAAUCCUGGGGAAUCGGUAGGUCGGUGCAGAUAGGCGCAGGGGGGUACGUUCGGAGUGGUACGGUCAUCGAGGACGAUGUCAGUGCGGGACUGAACGGUGGUGGAGACUAUGUUAAGGCUACUCCUAGAUUACGUAAUAGCUACUCCUAAGCUAUGUUAUGGCUAUUCCUAGUCCUUGGAUGUGAGAUGUAGACUGACGUCUGUGAUGUGAUGUUCGGAUUCCCUGCCAUGUUGUUGUCUUCAUCCUUUAUAGGUGCAUCGGCGCAAUCGACAAAGUAACUCCCGCAAUUCAUCACCUUUUUUUCUCAACUGCUCCUCUAACUCCUUGCCUUUGAUCGUGGCCAUUUGAAUUUUGAAUCACUAAAUUCAAAUGAGCCUGCCUUUUGGUUGUUGGAGUAAGUUUGGAUGUGACACUGAAGGCCAAAUUGGCCACUCGAAAUCUUGCUAGGCCCUUAUUCUAGCUAGUGCUCAUUUUCGGUGUUAACAAUUGCCCCCCUUGGCAGUUACUUUUGGGAGAGGGACAAGUGAUCAUCAAAUUUUCUGCUGCUGCCAUUUCGGUUUCAAAAUGAUGUGGGGCAACACACUAUCUUAGGUUUUCGUGCGCCUAUUAAAUUCACCUUCAUCAUUAUGGUGGUGGCGGGAGGCGAACCGUCGCAUCAUGGGACACGUGGCCUACCUGCUAUUGGUUGGGCCAUUGUUAUAAAUGUUGCUGGUGUCUCACGCCUUCUCCUGAUUGAAACCCUAGUUUUGUUCACCGAGAAAGCUUAUUUUCUUCGUCUUGUUCCUCGGCCCCGCUGCUUUUUUCCUUUCUCGUUCCCUUGCUCUCGUGGCUUCGUCUCCCGUAUCGAUUCCUUCCGAUGACACUUUCCUUGACAACCCCACGGUCAAACGUGAGGUUCUCCAUUCGCUCCCAGGCUCGGAGUCUCGAAGUCCCGUUUCAUCCUCGGGGUCUUUUAUCACCUCCUCAUCGUUUUCGAAUGGUUUUGCCUUUCUUCUUUCGGUUCACAUUCUUUGGGUCCUAGAUGAUUUCGUACCCGCUGUGUUGUGCCAUCAUCUUUCCUUGACCCCAUGUAUUUCCAGUUCGAAUUCCAGAAUAUAUAGAAGUUCUUCCUAGUGUCUGCUUGUGAUCGCGACAACCUGACUACAAAGUCUAGAGUGAUGUUCUCCUAUAGUGAUGUUCUUCUAUUUUCAGAUGGGAAUACGUACCCGUCAGUAGUUGAUGUUAUUCCUUCACUUCUUGGCAUAUUAAAGCACCGAGCCACAUAUGGCUCAACAUCUCUCUUCAUUUCGGGCCAUCAAUAAUGAGUCUUCAAGUUCUUAUACAUGAUAAUGCCGAGUGGAUUAUAGCGAUCAGUGAGCUUCUCUCAAGGCUUUUUCUUGGAUCUCUGUAUCAUUCGGUACGCAUAGUCGGUUUCGGAACCAAAGAAUGCCACAAUUUUCAAUUCAAGCUGUCGCAUUUCUUCUAGUAGUGGGAGUCGACAAUCAUAGCUAAAUUCUCCACGGAUUUUUGACUCCAUGCAUCUGCCACCACAUUUGGUUUGUUGGGGUGAUAUAAAAUAGUGAUGUCGUAAUACUUAAACAACUACAACUACUAGCGCUACUUCAAAUUUAACUCCUUUUGUGUAAGUAUUUGAUGCUCUUGUGAUUCGUGUAGAUCUCACAAUGCUUGCCGUAGAGGUAGUGACGCCACAACUUAAGGGCGAAGAUCACUACGGCUAACUCUAAAUCGUGAGUGGUGUAGUUCUUCUCGUAAUCCUUUAAUUGACGGAAGGCAUAGACUUCCCGUUUUGCAUAAGAACACAUCCAAACCCACUAUGCGAUGCAUCACUAUAUGCUACGAAAUCCUCUCCCGUGGUGGGCAACACAAGAACUAGAGUUGUUGUUAGCUUAUUCUGCAAUUCUUCAAAACUCUUCUUACAGUCAUUGCUCCCUUUAUGUAUAAGACUACUAAGCGGAGUGGUAUCUUUGCAAAUCCUUUAGCAAAUCGUUAAUAAUAUCCCGCGGGACCAAGGAAGCUUCGCACUUUGAUGAUGUUCGUCGGUCGAGGCUAAUAUUUGAUUGCUUCUAUCUACUUAAGAUCCACAUAAAUUUUAGCUUUGGAUACCACAUAUCCCAAUAAGGCAACUUCGCAAAGCCAAAAGUUGGACUUCUUCAAUUUAGCGAAUAGCUUUUUCCCCUGAAGAACUUGCAACACUUGCCUCAAAUGCUCUUCGUGCUCUUUAUCACUUCGGGAGUAAAUCAAAUUUUGUUGAUGAAGAUCACGACGAAACGAUCCAAAAAGGGCUUGAAGACAUGGUUCAUCAGAUCUAUAAAUACCGUCGGGGCAUUUGUGAGCCCAAACGACAUAACUAUAAACUCAUACUAUCCAUACCGUGUUCGAAACGUCAUCUUUUGCAGAUUCUUCGACUUGAUCUUCAACUAAUGAUAGCCCGACUGGAAGUCAAUCUUUGAAUACACCCGAUAUCCUUGAGGUUGAUCAAAGACAUCAUCAAUUCAGGAUAACUAAUACUUAAUUACUUAUUCUUUAUUGUGACUUUGUUUAACUCACGAUAGUCCACACACAAUCAUAACGAUCCAUCUACACCAAAACUCCCUAUGGUGACAUACAUGGUUUUAUAAAGUCUUUCUCGAAAAGAUUCUGAAGUUCUGCCCAAGGAUUUAAGUGCCCAUUGGCACGGACCGUAUCUACUGUGCUGUAUCGUGCCAACAAGAUAUUGACAUGAUGUAGCCUCCGUACCGUGGUACAGCUUAAAACCCUUUAUUCUUAAAAUUAGUAGGUAAUUUUCUCAAUAAAGUUCAAAAGCUUUAAUAAAAAUACAUAAUAAAUAGUUAGAAUAUUUUAUUGCUAAAGAAAAUAAAUAUUUCAUGCUAUUAUGUGUCGGCACAUGAAUUUUUUGUGACCGGCACGGCCCGGCACGCACUUUGCCGUAUCGUGCUAGCAAGUUUUCGGCAUGACCCCGUGCCACGACACUUAAAUCCUUGGUUGUCCUUUUUACUCUUUCAACUCUGCAGAUGUCAGUCAUCCUAUAAGGUGCUUUGGAAAUAGGAUCUUGUCCUGGUAACCAAGUUUUUGACAAACUUGAUCUUUUGGUCUUGCGGCAUACCCAGCAACUUUGUUGGAAAACACAUUAAGAAACUCUUCUACCACUGUUGCCAAAAAGGCUACGAAUCCACUAUCCAUCAAGCGCUUGGCCCAAAAUGUAGAAAUCGUUGUGGUGAAGCGAGAACUUCUAUAACCUUGGUAUACAAACUCUUCUUGACCCAGCUCAUGAAAGGUCACAAUUCUACUUUCACAAUCAAUCAUAGCCAGUGGCGGAUCCACCUUAAGUUCAGUGGGGUCUAUUGACCCUACUUAACUAAACCCUAUGUUGCACAGAUACGGAUACGGGGAUACGGAUACGACACGAUACGGAUACGGUGAUACGGCAAUUUCUAAAACUUCUAGGAUACGAUACGCGGGAUACACUUAAAUAAAAUAUUAUUUUAAAUAUAUUUAAAUGUAUGUUGAUUAUAUGUAAUGAUAUAUUGAGAACAAUUAGAAUAUCUAGGCUAUAUUAAGGAAUAUAUUCUAAUAUGCAUUAACUUGUAUAAUUAUUCUACAUAUGUUCAUAAAAAAAGAUAAUCAAUCAUAUAAAAUAAUAAUUCAAAAAGUAUCAAACCAACUAUCAUUCAACUUGAUCAAAUGAUAACAAUAAAUAUAUAGUCGCACAAACUAGAUAAUUAGCCAUUCAAUAUAUAUGUCUGAUUUGUUAGUUCUAUUAUUAAAAUAGUAAUAAAAAAAUAUGCUAACAAUUUAAUAGAGAAGGAAAAAAAAAUCAUAUUUUCUAUAGCCUUUGUUGCUUAAUACUAGGUUGACAAAUUAGAUGGAAGAGAGUAAAUACUGUGUGAAGAUAGAACAAGAGGGAGCGCCUUCUACCAUUCAAGAACAAAAAGAUAGAUGAAAUGACAAAUUGAACAGAUAUUGGUGUUUUUCUCACUCUUUUCCUUCUUUCCAAUAGGUUUGGACGUGAGCUUUUAAAAAAAUUUUAAGUUUCAAUCAUUUUAGACCAAAAAAGAACCGGGCCGUGUCCCCCCCGUAUCCCCCCGUAUCCCUCACGUAUCCGAGCCGUAUCCGAUAUUUUUUUAUUUUUUAAAAAUGCCAGAUACUUCAUUCCCGUAUCGGACACGUAUCGGGCGCGUAUCGGGCGCGUAUCGGUAUCCGAUAUGUAUCCGAUACGGAUACGGCAUGAAAUUUGAAGUAUCCGUGCUUCAUAGACUAAACCAAUUUAGAGGCCUUUUAUGAGGUUUUUGACUCCACUUUGGGGCAGUUGACCUCAAAGUGAGGUAAAAGAAAAACAAUAAAUAAAUACGUAAUACUUGUGGGGCCCACAUAGUAGUGGGCCAACAAGAAACUUAAAGGGUUAAAAAGCAUUAAAUAAAUAAAUACAAAUAAAAAUAAAAAAAUAUUACGGUUUGGAUAUUUCAUCGGGCUGCAAUUUUUUUUUUUUUUUUUAAUUUAGUUAAGCAACAGCAACAACAACAUCAUUCUUAAUUUAGGAAAAAAAAUUUGAACUUCUUUUCAUCCUAUCUCUCUUUACCAUUUCUUUUAUUGAUAUUAUUAUUAAUUAUUAAUUAUGAAUAUAUUAUUUUUUUUUAAUAAAUAGUGGUCAUUUUGUGUCGUUAUAAUGCAUAAAAUAUAAUUAGUACACUAAAGCUUCAUUUGGUAUCACGCUUAUUUUAAAUUAUUUUAAAUAUUUAUUCUAUAAAAUUUGAUAUGUUGGAGGAAUUUUUUUUUAUUGAUUAGUUUAUAAUGUAUUCGGCUAAGUAAUAGAUGAUUACUUAUUUUAAAAAUAUUGAAACAAAAAAAUAUUACUUUUAUUUUUUAUUUUCAUUUAUUUGUUAAGUGAGCACUUUGAUUGAAAUAGUUGCAAUCUAUCUACUGUCCACUCUUGCAUAUUUUAAUAUACAAAUUUUAUUUUAAAAAUAAAAAAUAAAUGUGAUGCCAAACGAGGCCUAAUUCCUUUUUUUAUCUGUCCUUUUAUAUAUAUUGACCUCACUAUGAAAAAUUUCUGGAUCCGCCACUGAUCAUAGCAUAAUACUUAGUGAGCUAAUCUAUACUCGAAACUACAUCGAAUCCCUUCAAUUACCUCAAGGUUAAUAGAUCUAUAGGCAUAAUGCAAUCACCUAACUUAACCAGACAAAGAAGGAUAAUGUUCACUGCAUGCAUAGUAUAACAAAGACAUGUACCUUUCCUAUAUGUGAUAGUUGAACCAAUUUAAUUUUAUGUAAUAUGGCAAAUGUCCGGUUUAUGAAUGAAUGCAACGCCCCAGUAUUAAAUAAUUCUUUAACUCUUAUAUCAUUAAUCAAAAUGAUACCUGCAGCGACGUCGCCUUUUGUCGGUAACUCCUCUGCUUGAGCUGCAUACAUACUUCCACUCGACGCUUGUCGGGACCCCUUGGGCUCAUGCGGUGCAAAGGGGCGUCCAGUAGGAGCAUGGGUGGGCGGGGCUCCUAUUGUCACUCUCAGAGUCAAAAGGGAUGAAAUUGAAGAUGGAGCUGGAGACACACCCCUUGGACACUUCUUCGCACUCUCAACAUCACGUUGUCGGCCGCCAACGUGAUUAUCAAAAGAAAGAAAGGCUCUACACCUUCGACCGGCCUCCAAUAUUGAUUGAAGACACAUGACUAAUGACUUAAUCAUUUAACUUGCCAUGUUAACGUGCUACCCUGCUCUCUUACGUUCCUAAGUCUUUACGAUCAAUCUCAUGUAUAGGGUCCACCGAAUGACAUAUCCUAGGCUUUGAUACCACCUUAAUCUGUCAAGUCUUGUGACACAGCGGAAGCCAGCCCAGGCACGUACAUAGACCUGCUAUGCGAACGGAGUUUCAGCUAUACGUAGGAAGCACCAACAAUCAAUCGAUACAAUUCACUCAAUAUCCAACAAGAUAUAUAAGUAAACAUACAAGUUGUUGGGUAUCAAAAGCAAGUAACUAUCUAUUACAUCCAACAUCCAUCAAUGCUACAAUUCCAACCAAAAUAUGAUACAUACAACUUGUUCACAUAAUUAACAUAAUUCCGUUUAUUACAUAACUUUGAUCCAAAAAUCACUUAAGUACAUUAGGGGUAACCUCUAUGGGCAAGGUACUCACAAUAGGAUAGGGGUAGGAUGAGGGCGUUAUCUAGUUCGCAACGCCUUUUCCACGGUCUCGUAGACUUCCGUCGCUAAAGAUGGUUCUAGAGAAGGAAAACAAGAAGAAUGGGGCGAGAACUUGAAAAAGUUUCCAGUGGGUGCAGUCACCGACAGGGGCGCUCUGCACGCACCAGGUCUAAACUAGGUAUAAUAAUGAAAUAAGCAACAUCGAGUAGCACCAAGGGUAAAAUAAUACUAUGAGAGUAAAUACUACGCAAUUACUAUGCCUCUACAAGAAAUAACUUGCAUGUUCAACUUGACCAUAUAUGCAUAAUUAUGCUUAUGUUGUCAAUAUCCAAUAUUUUACCCAAUCUUAUUGACCGGCUAGUAGUCCAGUCCUAACGUAUGUUGUUGCCUAGUGAGUCGUUGAACAAUCGCAUAAAGUCACUCAUUUGGCCGCCUCAUGGCUAGUUGAACAAUUGCAUACAUCUCCUAUUUCUACACUCAAAAAUAGGGCGAGCGGACUCACGUGGCUAUACCUCUGGAGGGCUAAGGCUUGUAAAGUCGUGACCUCCACAAGCGCUUGCUCAUUGAGCUCUAUUUGGCUCUUGCAAGCUUUAAUCAUAUGCUUAUGAUAAAAAAGACCAACUCUACAACAAAAUAGUCAUAAGGGCUCUUUUGCUCAAUCAUCAUAUCUAGCCAAAAAGCUAUGAAGCACGGAUACUUCAAAUUUCAUGCCGUACCCGUAUCGGAUACGUAUCGGAUACCGAUACACGCCCGAUACGCGCCCGAUACGUGUCUGAUACGGGAAUGAAGUAUCUGGCAUUUUUAAAAAAUAAAAAAAUAUCGGAUACGGCUCGGAUACGUGAGGGAUACAGGGGGAUACGGGGGGGACACGGCCCGGUUCUUUUUUGGUCUAAAAUGAUUGAAACUUAAAAUUUUUUUAAAAGCUCACGUCCAAACCUAUUGGAAAGAAGGAAAAGAGUGAGAAAAACACCAAUAUCUGUUCAAUUUGUCAUUUCAUCUAUCUUUUUGUUCUUGAAUGGUAGAUGGUGCUCCCUCUCGUUCUAUCUUCACACAGUAUUUACUCUCUUCUAUCUAAUUUGUCAACCUAGUAUUAAACAACAAAGGCUAUAAAAAAUAUGAUUUUUUUUUCCUUCUCUAUUAAAUUGUUAGCAUAUUUUUUUAUUACUAUUUUAAUAAUAGAACUAACAAAUCAGACAUAUAUAUUGAAUGGCUAAUUAUCUAGUUUGUGCGACUAUAUAUUUAUUGUUAUCAUUUGAUCAAGUUGAAUGAUAGUUGGUUUGAUACUUUUUGAAUUAUUAUUUUAUAUGAUUGAUUAUCUUUUUUUAUGAACAUAUGUAGAAUAAUUAUACAAGUUAAUGCAUAUUAGAAUAUAUUCCUUAAUAUAGCCUAGAUAUUCUAAUUGUUCUCAAUAUAUCAUUACAUAUAAUCAACAUACAUUUAAAUAUAUUUAAAAUAAUAUUUUAUUUAAGUAUAUCCCGCGUAUCGUAUCCUAGAAGUUUUAGAAAUUGCCGUAUCACCGUAUCCGUAUCGUGUCGUAUCCGUAUCCCCGUAUCCGUAUCUGUGCAACAUAGCCAAAAAGUCAUUCCAAGAAUUAUUUAACCAACAAUCGUGUUCUCAACAUGUAGAAAGACGAUAACAUUAUGACAUCCUCGAGACCAUGCAAAGUAUAUUCAUCAGUUUUAACAUGCUUGUUAUAAGGCUGAUGAAAACUAUGAGAUCUACAAAGCAUGCUUGAUAAUCAUCAACAACUACUCAUGCUUAAUAAUUUUUUAUUUAACAAUAGUAUUAUCCUAGCAAUUGAUGUUUUCGUUAUUAUGAUUUCAAUAUAUGCCAACUCAUAAGAAUGCGAUAACAUUGUAAUACCCAAAAGCUAUGAAUCAUGGAUUGUUACACCCCAAGUAGUCUUGGUAGCUUUUUGAUCGCCGCUAGCAUACUUUCGGAUUAUGCUUGUGAGUGUUGUUCUAGACUCUCCCAGAGUCUCUGAUUUUGUUCGAGCGCCUGGAAAGAUUUUUGGUCCAUGUGCUCUAUCAGUGCUAGCAUCUGUGCCAUUAUUUUUGACGGCUUAGCAAGAAUGGCCGCAGAGGCUUGCUCAGGUAUGAUUGUGGGUGGAGGUCUGUUAUUAGCUUCCAACGGAAUACCAAGCAUGAUUGGCCAACCACAUCUAUCCUAAGAACCAUUUAGUUUUGUAGACGCAAAUCAUUGGUAUUGGCACUGACCAUAAUAAUUUUAUCAAAGGAUCUCAUUGCGCGUGCCAAGAAGGAUUGUUGGUGAAAAAUUUCGCUGGCACAGGUGGUGCGAUUCGGGUUGUCUGCCAACGGGUUUGUCCCUUCGUGCGAAAGACGUGGUCUGAUUUGGGUUCAGGUGCGGAUCAGAGAGGGGGCCAUCCGACCGUGUUCGAGCUCGAGGGAAGGCCUUGAAAUCUUCGCGCAUGUAGGCCGAAGGCUGGAUGCUUUGGUUUUCGAGCUUCGACAAUUGCCUCGGCCAAAGUAGCAAUGCGGGAUCUCCGUAUAGCAACGGUCCUUGGGAAUCGGUAGGUUCGCCUGGAUAGAGGCGCAUGGUGCUGGGGACUACGUUGGCCGGUGAGGACAAGGUGCCUGGCUACUGUUAGAGUGGUAUGGUCAUCGAGGGUGAUGUCGUCUGAGGCUGAACGACGGUGAAGAUUACUUUAAGGCUACUCCUAAAUUACACUAUGGUUACUCCUAGGCUAUGUUACACUAUUUCUCGAAUGUGAGGUAUGUAUUGGCGUCUAUGAUGUGAUGUUCGGAUCCUUUGUCUUGUAGCUGUCUUCACUCUUUAUAGGUACAUCGUUGCAAUCGACGGAGUAACUCCCGCGAUUCUCUACCUUCUUUUCUCAAGUACCUUCUAAUUCCUCGCCCUUGAUCGCGGCCGUUUGAAUUUUGAAUCAAUUAAUUCAAAUGAGCCCGCCUUUUGGUCACCGAAGUGGGUACGUUUGGGUGUGACAUUGAAGGCCAAAUUGGUCACUCUUCGGCAGAGUUUCCUACCAAAAUCCCUUUUGGUACUACUUCUUGCCAAUGCUUAUUUUUGGUGUCAACAGGUGUUUAGCAGUGUUUACACAGUAGCCGCUAUGCCUGUCAUAGCGGCCGCUGUAGUGGAUUUUAUGUACUACCGCUAUGCCAUAAUCUCUAAAGGAGAAUUUAGCGGAUCGGGUUCAUAGCGGCGUUGAAGCGGCUACUAUAAAGCAGUUGGAAAGCGGAUGCUAUGAGUCCAAAACUUCAAAAAGUUUGAGUUGCAGACAAGGAGGAAUGCAACAACGUAGACACAGAGAGCAAAAAAUAGAACCAUUGAUGAUGUGGUGUUUGAGUCGUCGGAAUCGGAAGGGGAUGAAGAACAAAUGUUGAGAUGAAUGACCAGAAUACCUCUAGGGUGCGUUUGAUACCGGGGAUAUCCCGAAAUAACACGGGAUAUCCCCCGAGUUGUAACCAAACGGUAGAAUAACAGAGAGGAACUAAGAACAAAGCGGGUUGUUCUGGGUUGUUCCGGAACAACCCGAUAAAUAUUGUUCCUAGGGGAAUUAAGAACAAUUAUGUUCUUCUCUUUAUUUUAUUAGAUAAAUAGAGAGUUGAGCUGGAAUACUAUUGGUAGCAAACUGGCUCCGUUGCCACCCAUUUGUUUUUGAUGAUAGAGCCUCCAAAUCGACGAUCGGCACCGUUGAACAUGAUCUAUACCAUUUGAAGUAUCUAGAAAUCAAAUUUCAUGCUUUUCGAUAUUGUUCCCUUGUUCAUCAAGUGGACGUAAAAAUGAACGGUUGAAAAUGAAAAUCCUCUAAAAAGUGAUGAUGGGAAUUUUGUAAUCAAGAUCGAGAGUGUAGAUCUUGUUCUAAAUAGUUUAAAAAAUUUUCUAACCAAAAUUCAAUUGAUUUGGAUAGCUUUACACCGUUAAACCAGAAAAUGCCUUAUAUCUACCAUUAAAAUUAUAAAUUUUGAAACCCUUUGAUCAUUAGGUUAAUGAUGUCGAAAAGAUUUGAAAUUUGGUUUCUAGAUAGUUCAAGUGGUAUAGAUCAUGUUCAACGGUGCCGAUCGUCGAUUUGAAGGCUCCAUCAUCGAAAACAAAUGGGUGGCAACGAAGCCCGUUUGCUACCAAUAGCAUUCCAGCUUAACUCGAUAAAUAGAUAUAUAAAUAAAUAUAUUAAUAUAAAUAUCAUUUUUAUGAUAAUAUAUUUAUACUUAAAUUUUAUUAUAUAAUAUAAAUUAAUUAAAUUUGAUAUAUUAUUUAUUUUAUUAAGUUUUAUUAUUUAUAUAUUAAUAUUUAAUUAUUUUAUUUUAUAUUAAGUAUUAUAUAUAUAUAUAAUUUUCAUGCAUUAAAUAUAUAAAUAAUUAUUUUAUUUUAUAUUAAGUAUUAUAUAUAUAUAAUUUUCAUGCAUUAUAUAUAUAUUUUAAUUUGUAUUGAAAUUUAUACUAUUAUUAAUUAAAAUUUUAAGAAUAUCUUUACAUAUAUUAUGAAUAAAUUAUAUAAAAUAAAUUAUUAGUAUAUAUAGUAAAAUAAAUAUACUAUUUUAAAUUUAAUUGUUACAUAAAAUAUUAUAUUAUAAAUUACUAUAAGAAAUAAUUUUAUAAAUAAUUUUAUAUAAAAUAUACUAAUAUAAGUUAGUUAUUUUAUUUUUAAAAAUAUAUUUAGAUAUUGUUCUACACUUUUUAUCUAUACGCUACUAAAGAUAUCCUCUAGAAUAUCUCCGAAUGCAUCCAAACAUAAAUUCACAAUUGUUCUAUCUGUACUGGAAUAUCCACUGUUCUCGAGAACAAUAAAAGUUGUUCUCCAAAAUUUAGUUCUUCAACCAAACGCAACCCUACUGAAGGAGAAGAAGAUUGUCUUCCUAAUGAAUAAGAUUGUAAUCAUUUGCCUAAGAUAUCCUUUUGACAUCCAUUUACAAAUUGUUUAGAUUGUUAAUGGAUUAUAGAUUUUCAAGUUUUAUAUCUUUUUGGUUUGCUAAAUCGUAAUAUUUUAAAAUUAAUCUUAAUAAGUAAUGUUAGUAAAUAUGUAUAGGCUUGCAAUACAAAAAAAAAGAAGGAAUAGUUGUCUUUUUUUCAAAAUAAUAUGUAUUUUUUAUAAGGAACAUAAACAUAUUAUGUAAGUUUUUAUGAAACCCGCUAUAGGUUCAUAGCGCCCGCUAGUCACUUUCCGCUAUGAGGCCCUCCAAAUGCUAUGUACCUGCUAUCCGCUAUUUACAACCUUGGCAUAUAGUGUAUCAUGCUUUUGUUCAAGCAAUGAUAAAUAAUUGAUGACAGUUAUCUAAAUUUUUCCAAUUUGAAAUUUCACAGAGUCUGACCUUUUCCUUCGACAAGACAGGUUUCUCUUUUUCAUUUUUGGAGCUCAUAGAGGGAAGACAGAAUCCGGAGGGAAAGGAAUAAGAAAUGUGAGAAAGUAGGGGGUUAGCAUACAAAGAAAAAUUUGGAGAAAACCUUUUUAAGGUUUGAAAACUGACUUAUGAAGUGCAUCUAACAGCUCUAAGAACCUGCUCAAAGUACUGUAUCAGCUAGAACAGAACAUAUAGUGCAUAGAACGGUUUGGAAAUGCCAUAUAAAUCGGGAGCUCUAUCAUUUGAAGUCUCAUCAGUGUAGAAGUAAAUUGACCGUAAUUCAUUCACCUCAAUCAAAAUAAAAAUUGUUGUCUUGAUAAAAAUGUAUCUCAGUUUAGAAUCAGAUGACUCCUAUUUCAAAUUAAAUCCAAACACCGUGAAUUAUAGGGCGUUCCCGAAAAGUAAUGAAAUUGUAGGUUUCUGCACCACUUUGUGACAUUAAGCAUGGUAAACUUCCUAUGCCCAAUAACAGGGGGCCAAAAUUCCCUGUAGUCCCUUUUUUCUUCUCAAGGAAAAAAGAGCACUUUUGAAACUUGAGAGUAGUUUGGCAAUAAUUGAUUAAUUUACAGCAUGGCCAUCAGUUGCAAUGAAACCAAGUAUUUUGAGUAAAACCCAUCAAAUCAGUGAUAAAUAAGGGAUAGAGCUUCUUGAUUAUCCUUUAUGUUCUUCUUUCAUUCAUUUGCAUUAAAUUUCCAAUGAAAUUGACAUUAAUUUGUAGAAUUUUGUUUUCUCAAACUUUGAUCUUGUAAUUAUGAAAUCUAGUAUGCCAUUUUCAAUAAAAUUUUGUUGACAUUAGAAGCAGUACAUCUGUGGGGUAAGAAAGGCUUUUAAGUACUUAUUUGUGAACAUUUAGAACAAAUUUUGAAGAUGAGAAAGCUUAGAAAGCAUGUGCCCUUUGCUGAGAUGUAUUGGGUAGGGAGCAACGCCACAGCGGUAUAAUUUGCUUGAAACCCUCUUAUAUUGUAAGUUAUUAAGAAGAAAUAUUUACUAUUAUUUAACUCUUUAUCAUAUUAAUCAUUCAUUUAAAAUGAUAGAAUUUGAUGACAUGGACAGUUAAUUUGGGGAACUUUUGAUUCUUCUAUGUGUAACCAUUGUUUUCUUUACAUCCAAAAAAACUUAUGAAAAUUUCAUGAAAUUAGUGAUGAAUAAUCUUGUAAUAUUACUUAUACCCAUUAUAAUCAUUAUUCAAGUCAUUUGUACCAAAAAUACAAUGAAUUGAGAGAUUUGCUCCAAUUUGUUUUUCCUCCGGUGUUAGUUCUUAAUCUAAUAAAAAUCCUAUUAUACUUUCGAGAUUUUUCUUGAUAGUUCUAGUAAUUCAAUCAAUAGAGCACAAACUUGUUGGUUCCUUCUGUAGCCACUUUCUUUUAUCCUUUCUUAGUUUUAUUAGUUCCAUUUGCUUGAACCCUUUUUUCAUUUGGAAACGUUCCAUCAUUACAUCGACAUUUAAUGGCUAGAAAUCUCAACUGUUAUAUUAUGCAUUCUGCUUUUGCAUUCCUUUUACUGAAGCUGUGUUGUAUAUGAGAAGUUCUUCAAUUUUUAGUUACAUAUACAGUUAGUUGAUGAAUUCUGACAGAAAGUUAUUUAAUCUUAUGAUAAUCUUCUAAGCAUUUUAUUAUUCUAGCAAUCUUCUUCUGUUAGUCUUUGUGAAUGAAGUGAAUGAACUUUUAGACUUAUUGUUCUUAUUGGUUAUAUAUCUAUUCAUAGGUUCCUUCAUUAUGAAUUAUAAUAAGUAAUUUAUUUUAUAUCAUUAAAAUAAAAACAAAGUUUAUUAUUAUUAUUAUUAUUAUUAUUAUUAUUUUGUUGUGUAAUGUUGAUAGUUUUAUUGUAAAAUAUUUAUCUGAUGCAUGCAGGUCUGGCUGCUGGCUCUUGUUGUCUUACCAGCUAGGUCACACAUUUUCAUGCGGUUUGGUUUAGUCUUAUACCUCUCUCUGUUGUCAGUAUGGAUUCUUCCAACUCAUAUUUGGACAGUAAGUUGAAGUAAAUUCUAUUUGUAGUUUCUAAGAUUCCUCAUGGCUAAUGUUAAACAAAGUUUGGAGUUAUAAAUUUGAAACGAUAAGUUGAACUGGCUUUGUUCGUUAACUAGAGAAAAAUGUUUUAAAGAUGUGCAAAUUUUGCUCUUUACAUGUGAUAAUAUCUUUAAUUAUUAAAAAUGAAGAGAAGGGGUCUGUUAAUGGAUACAAUUUUCAGCUUCUUUUUUCUUUCAAUCGAAAGUUUGAGGUAAGUAUAAUUUUAUCCAUGCCUUAAAUAGAAGAGAAGAAUGCAUUGGUCAACCCUCUCUUUCUUACCAUAAGAUGAGGAGGUCAUUAGUGCCAUUAAUGUAGGAGCCAGAAAGAAGUAGCUGGAUCGUUAAGAAAAUUUGGGACAUUGAAGGUUGUUGGUGUUAUUGUUGUCCUGUUUGAACCUUUCUCACUCUCUUUUUUGACCUCUCCCUCUCUCUGCCACUUUUUUUACUGAAGUUGCAAAGAGCAAACUUUGUCAAAUUGAGGUUGCUGCAUUGCCACAUAGGUUAAUUUUUCUCUCUGAGUUGUGAUGGCAUCAUGGUUCGGCCAUCACCAAUGGGGAUCUUCCCUCUUCCAAGAGAUGUAAUGCCUUUCCUCUCCUUGUAGGGAAAGAAGAAUUCAUUAGUUUACAUAAAUUUCUCUAUUUAAGUUUCUUUUCUCUAUCAAAUUUUUUAUAUAUAAGCUUUCGGGGUGGCGAUCAUUCUUUUAUCAAAAAACACCCUUUGUGGAGUCUUAGGUCAUUAUAGCUCUAAGUAUGGAAAGGAGGAUCAACCAUAAGAGAUAGGCCAGUUGAUCAAAUUGUGGACUGAAUAGAUUAGUUGACCUCUUAGGUCCCUGAAAGUAGAAUGACACAAGGUAAAAUCAGAUUACGUUUACUUUUUCCAUUUCCAGUAGUUUGGGUGAUUGUUCUCAUCUUAUAAGGGUGGUUGAACAUUGUCACGGUUUGUUUAAAUUGCUUUGAAUUUGAUUUCUUGAGUGUUUUUUGUUCUGAUGUUGUUGUGCGAAUUAUAGUUAGAACGAGUAUUUUAAUCUUCACAGGAUCUUUUUAUGGUUUUGAAAGGAAAUCCCUCAAUGUUUUAAAGUCUUUGAUUGUUAUGUUUAAAACUUGAAAGUGCGAGCUUAAUUUUUGGAACUGAUUUGGACUUUGUCAUUCACUGUUUUAGGUAAGGUUUUCUUCCUUCUGUUAAAUAAUGUUGAUUUUCUUCCAUGAUUUAUUUAUCUUCUUCUAAAAAUGAUAGAAUAUGAGAAAUCACAUGAUACAGUGGUAUCAUCCAGCAAGCGUAUUGCUUAUGGCUUGUCUGGUGGCUUGAUAUAAAAAGACUUAAAGAGAAAUGCCCUAUAUCGAGUUAACUUUGUGGUACAUGGAAGUUGUCUAGCUGGUUUAAGAACUUAUGCGAGAUGCAUAUGCUUUUGCUAUAUCAUGAUUUUUGGUGACCAAAAUCCUAGUUCUUAGGUUUUUGAGCUUUGCUAAUUGUGUCACAACCCAAUUUUCGAUAUGGAAUAAGAAAUAUUGUUCUAGUCAGACAGCUAACUUGUUUUCUGCUUGUAUUUCUUUGUCAUCCGGUAGAUCUAUUAUUUCUUAUUCUGCAUAUUAGCAUUGAAUCCUUUAGAUCAUCAACUAAACGUGUCAAUAAUAAGGUAAGUUACAUUUUACUUGUAGGAUCAAUUAGGCAGGGUUGCUCUGCUUUCUGGGAUCUUAUUCAUCAUGCUGGGAUUUGGUUCUGAUGGUGUACCUCCACUUGUCCAGUUGAGAACGCCGCCCUCAUCGAUUACAGGAUUGCCAAAUCUUCCUUCAUCCUUGGGAGGUUACUCUUACACAAUCAUGAAGCUAGGACCAUUGCAGUUUACAAGGAAAGGCUUGUCUGUGGCUAGUACUUCAGCCUGCCUAUCGUUCACUGUAUGUUCGCUUCACCUUUCAAUUUUUAUUAUUUGCUAUAAGACUUUUCUUUUGCAUUUGUUUUUUCUUCUCUAUGUCAUGUUUUGUUACCUAAAUUCAGAAAUGAGUAGCUUCAUUAGUCCUUAUUCCUUAACCAAAGAAGGUUGCUACCUUAUGUAUGAUAGUUUUUGUAGUGAUUGUAUUCCCAGAGAGAAUUCUUUACAUCCUCAAACACUACUGUUAGGUCAUCAUGAAUCAGCAUCUUAUUUCUGAUAUCCUAUGACCUACAUCUCACCACUAUUUUAUAAAGUUCUAGCCACAAUUUUAUACACGAUAACUCUUCUAUUACUGCUGCAACCUUAUUUGAAACUAACCUAUUCUAUUCAUAAACUACUUUAAACGUUGAUGAUGCGGAUAUAUUAACCGUUCGAGCCUUGUUCCAUAAUGAUUUUGCUUGCUUUUGACAUAGCUUCACUCCUUAACAAGCAGAUUCCUGAAAAUUUUAUUUUCUCUUUAAAUAUUUCUUUUUCCUGAUGCUAGCUGCUUAUUGGAACUACCAAGUGAUAGUUCUACUAAUUGCGUGCUAUGAUAAAAUUUCCUAUCUCUUAUAUGGAUGCUGAGAUUUUUCUGCACUCUCCCUCCCUCCACACCCUCCCCCCCCUUCCCCUCCUUGCAGAUCUUCCAAAGUGCGAGUCUAUGCUUGACAACAACAACGCCCGAGCAGCUUGCUUCUGCAUUAUGGUGGUUUAUGGUUCCUUUGAGGCAUAUUGGUGUUCCAGUGGCUGAGAUAAUACUUACUUUGCUACUUUCUUUGAGGUUCAUCAAUUUAGUGUUUGAUGAGGUAAGUUGUAGGCAAGGUUCUAAGUGUUGUGGCAUAGGGAUCGUCCUGAGAACUAGCUGGCAUGGUACAACACGGAGCUUGCCGUGCUGUGCCAAUGUGUGCAGAUUAAAAAAAAUACCGAUGUGUGUCAAUGUGUAGACACUAUCACAUAAAAUAUUUAUUUUCUUUGCAACUAGUAUAUUCUAAUUGUUUAUUAUAUAUCUUUAUCAUAUCUUUUGCACUUUAUUUAGAUAACUCCUUGCUAAUUUGUAAAAAAAAAGAAGAGAAUGUUGAGCUGUGCUUAUGGCAUAGGGUUGUAUCAUGUCGAUGUUUUGUCGGCGCGGUAGGACACAAUUGGCAUGGCCAGUGCUGAUGGGCACUUAAAACCUUGGUUUUACACUAUAGCUAUAUUUGCUAAGAGUAUUCUUGGCCAAUUUUCUAUUAGAUCAAUCUUUUGGGUAACAUGGUGUUUGAGCCAAUCCUAAGCUCUCUCUACUCUGUGAGGUUCUUGAGUUCGAUUCCUACAUUUGCCAUUUUUUGAAAAAUAUUUUUGCCAAUUAUUCCUUUGUCUCUUAUGUUACCUUUUUUGUUAGUGCGCGUGGUAUGGUUCAUUUGACAUUCAAACAUACAAGUGAGCAGGGUUGUUAAGAGGAUUUUUUUACAAAAUAAUCCUCUAAAAUUUGAUAAUUUGCAAAACAACCCUAUCCAAAUUAUAUUUGGAAAACUAACCUUCCUUUUGCCAUGUAAGCGCCAGGGUGGAGAUUUUCUUUGAAGACGGUGAAUCAUUCACCGCCUUUAGUAAGGCGGUGAAUCAUUCACUGCCUUCUUAAUUUCCCACAAAGGCGGUGAAUCAUUCACCACCUUUUACUGUUUUUUUUUAUAUCCUAUAUAUAAUCCUAACAACCAUAUAAAAAUUUUAACAAAUUACAUAUAAUCUUAACAACUUGAAAAUCCUAAUAAUUUAUCCAUACAAUCAUAUAAUCUUAACAGUUUGAAAAUCCUAAUAGUCUAUCCGUACAAUUUCAUAUAAUCUUAACAGCCUGAAAAUCCUAAUAAUCUAUCCAGACAAUCCUAACAAUCAAAUAAAAAUUCUAAUAAUCCACAUAUAAUCCUAACAAUCUCACAUUUUCUAUUUCCUAUAUAAUCCACUCACAAUUUUAAAGAAUGCGACAAACGAUUCACCGCCUUUAAAAGAAAUAGGAGAAAGCGGUGAACGAUUCACCGUCUUUAAAAGAAAUUGGAGAAUGCGGGGAACGCUUCACUGCCUUUAAAAGACAUGGAGAACGUGGUGAACGUUUCGCCGCUUUUUGAAAAAUCUCCCACGUGGCUCCUACGUGGCAAAAAGAGGGUUAGUUUGCCAAAUAUAAAUUUGGCAGGGUUAUUUUGCAAAUUAUAAAAUUUUAGAGGGUUAUUUUAUAAAAAAGUCCUUGUUAAGACUAUUCCUGGAACCAUCUCAGAAGGAUUUAAGUGCCAUGGCCUGGGCUCAUGUUGAGAACUUGUUGGUAUGGUGUGGCACGGUGUGUGCCAUGCCGUAGUGAUGUGAGCCAGCCAUAAAAAAUACCUAGGUGCUAAUGACGUGAAAUAUUUAUUUUUCUUUAGUAGUAAUAUAUUCAAAUGUUUAUUAUAUAUCAUUAUCAAUUUUUUUGCACUUUAUUGAGAUAACUGCUUGCUAAUUUCAAAGAAAAAAGGGCUUCGAGCCGUGCCAUCAGCAUAAGGGUUAUAUUGUGCCAAUAUCUUGUCAGCAUAGUACAACACAUAGGUACGGCUUGUGUUGUUGGGCACUUAAAUCCUUGCCAUAUCCUAUUACAUUGAUUUUUUUGGUAACAUAAUUAGCAAAUGGACGUAGUUUUUGUCAUCCAUGCUUUAUCUGUUAGGUAAAUAUUAGUUGCUUAUUUACAAAGGUAUAACAUGUCAUUAAUGCUCUACUUCUUGUGAAAACUUUUGAUAGGUUAGAAAUACAGCGCUGGGAAUUGUAGCACGUCGGAUACACUGGCAUCAAUUGACAACUAUAGAAACAUUAGAUGGUAAGUGAUUAAGUGCGCUUUUUUUUAUUUGUAGCUAUUGAUUAAUUUUGUUUGUGAGGUUAGUCUUGACUAGUUGAAAUUUGUUUCAAUUUUGCCUCAAAGAUUUUGCAUCAAAGAUUUUGCUUCUAUAUACAUAUUUGAUUUGAUGCCUUGGUGAUUGGUCUAUUUUGAUUUAGCAGCAAGAGAGAUUGAAAUUUGCCCCGGACCAACAAAUCCGAUGAUUAUUGCAAACAAGAUGCUUGUGUAUUGUCUAAAAUUUUUUAUCAAACUCAUCUACUCAUGUAGAUUGAUCUCUUUCCGUCAUUCAAUUUCGUGUGGCAAUUGGCAAAUUUUAUUUUUUGAUGUUUUAUUUCUUCAUAUUUAAGGCCCUAUUAGUAUAGCUAGUUAAAAAACUCUAUGAAGUUUAUUUUCUAUGGUUUUAACUUAGAUUAAAUUCAGGCUUAUAGGAAUUCCAUACUCUAUUCUAUUUAUGUUUGAAUGCCAAUUGCAAAAUUUCGUAAAAAUUCUGUCAAAUUUGAUAAAAUUUCUAAUAAAAAUAAUAAAUUUGUCAAACAAAUAGAGAUCAAAAUUGCUAACUAAACUAAAUCAGAUUGAACGACAUUUAGACUCUAUUUUGUUUCUACUUAAAACAUUACUAAUCAAAAUUACUAUCUUAAAAAUAACAAAUGGAGAUCAAAUUAUUAAUCAAAUCAAAUUAAAUAUAUACUCUAUUUUAUUUGUAAAAAAUAACAAAUAAAAAUCAAAAUAAACAAUUAAUAAUCAAAACUAAUAAAAAUUUAACUUUAUUAGUUUAGUUAAUAAUUUUGAUCUAGUUCAAGGAAGGGGCGAAGGUGGUGGCAUGGUAGAGUAGGGUAGCAGAGGAGGAGGAAGCGGCGGCGCAGCGGAGCGGGGGCGACAGAGGAGGAGCAGGAGGGGCGGCGGUGCCGCGGUAGAGGGGGAUGGCGGAAGAGGAGUUGGUGACAGCGGAGACGACAAUGUUGUUUAGACGGCGGUGGUGACAAUGACGGAGGGGGUAGAGGCGGUAGAGUGGCGGAGGGGGCGACGGAGGAGGAGGGGAUGGUGGCGGCGUGGGUGGCAGAGGAGGAGGGGCAACGACAGAGGAAGAAUGAAGAUGGAGAAAAUGAUUUUUUUGGUUUUGCGAAUAAAAGAGAGAGAGGGCCUCGAUCUCAGAGACUACCAUUUAUUUUUCUCUUAAUUGGAGUGGAGUGGUACUGUGGUAAAGAACUACAUUUUUUAUUGUAUAGUUUAACUACACCAUGAUUUAUGGACCUGCUUUGAGCCUAUCCAAACAGUCAUAUAGUAAAAAGAAACCUAUCGGUGUAGUUAGACUAUAUCCCAUUUUAGAGCCCAUCCAAAUGGGUCCAAGUUUCUUUCUUAUGUAUUUGGAGGCUUAGUUUAUAACUCAAUCUGCAAAUGCAUUUAAAAGUUUUGAUCUACAUUACACGGACAUAGCUCCAAAGCAGUUGCGUCUGCUUGCGACUCGUGUCGGACUCGGGAAGCAUAGCGUACAUGAGACGACAUGUGUCCGCUGUGCGUCUGGGGUAAAAAAUGAAUGCGGAGACGACUCAUGUGCAUCGCACAAGUCCUCUUUGUUAGGAAGAGUUUCCAAGCUUUUAGUAAUAGGAAAUAGUUUUGCCUGCACCCGAUGUAUCCUUAUCUAUAAUAUACCAUAGUUAAUUUGGUUAAUGCUUUAAUUUUAAAAUCUAAGUUAACCUAUCUGAUCUAUAAUAUUUAAGAUAUAUGUAUAAAAAAGUAAUUUUGGAAAUCUAAUAUUUAGAUGUUAAGUAGUUCCAAGAAUUAGCAGUGUUAAAAGCACCAUUAUUUAAUUUAUAAAAAAAUACUAUCCAAAAAUUCAUAAUUUUUUAUAUCUUUCUUUUAAUGUCAUAUAAUGCAUCUAAUAAAUUAGAUUCGGAAUAUUGUUGUGCUGUGUGUGGUGAAUGAGAUAUACUUAUGAACUUGGUAGAGAUAGUAUAUUUUCAAUUCAUGCACCAACUUGCAGUGCAUAUAAUUAGAAUUUUGUACAUAAUAUAUAUAAAAUAUUAUACUUAAAAAUAAUAUUUUAUUGUUGGUCUUGCCAUGUCUGUAUCCUAAUUUUUUUGAAGUUGCUAAGUCGCCGUGUCCGAGUUGUGUUGUGUGCUGUGUCUGUGUCCGUGUCCGUGUCCGUGUAACAUAGGUUUUGAUUGAGCAACACUAAUCACAUGUUGCAGUAUAGCAUUUUGAAUGUUUUUCCCCUUACUAUAAAACAGUUUCAUUGAUUUUCAAGAAUGACCUGUGAUGACCAUUAAACAAUUCAACCUAUUUUCUAAGUUAAUGUGCUUAAUUUUCACUAUGCAAUUGCAAACUGGGAAUAUUUUUGGCAACAGAGAGGCCAGCCAAAAAGAAUACUGCCACCAAAUGUUGUAUUUAGGACCUAGAAUCAUCACUUUCAAAUUCAAUUGAACCACUUUCAUGAUAACAUUGCGUCCUUAUGUCUGUAUAAUGAAUGUACACCAUACUAUUUGUAUCAUACAGAUGAUAACCAGACCUUGAUUUUUCUGAAGUUCAUAUGUUAUCUGCAUCAUCACUAAUAUGCUGAAUUCCUCACUUUUAGUUUGUUGUUUGGAUUUAUACUUAGGAUUAAGAGUUUAUAUCUGCGUGAGCUAGAAAAAUUUGACUUAAAAUUAUGAUGACUCUGCAGUUUUCUUUUUGUAUGUUCGACGCAUAUUCAAAAAUAUCUUUGAUCACGCGGUGCAAAUUUCCAAGGUUAGUUCUCUUUGAAAUUUAUUAUUUAAUGAUAUCAUUAUUGCUAUGUCAAUGUGAUAAGCACUUGCAAAUCAUUCUUUACUAGUUAAGGGGCCCCGCGCGAUGCGGCGGGAAGAUAGUACAAUAGUAAAUUAUUAUAACAAUUAAUAUUAUUUUUUUUUUCUAUUAUGCAUUAAUUUAAAAAUAUUUAAACCUAAUAAGUAAAAUAAAUAAAUCAGUUUAAAAUAAAACAAAAGGCUCAUUACAGUAUUAAGAAAGAUAAAUAAUAUUUUUCUAUUAUCAUCAAAGAUAGAAUUUACAAAAAAGAAAAAAACUAAGUGGAGUGAAAGUACUAUCUUUGGUAUUCUUGGCAGCAACGUUUUCAACGUUUUCAUUGUGCCCUCAUUAACUUUUAUCGUUAUACAUACAACUAAUAAAGUAUUUGAUUCCUAAAUUUUAAAUUAGUGAAGAAAUCAGUACGUAAUUAUCAGAAGCACAAAAAAUAAGACUAAUCAAAAGGCAUUCGAAAUCAAAAUAGAUAUUUUUUACACUGUAAAAAAAUUCAACUACCAAAUAUUAUAUUAUUAUAUAAAUUAAUCCUCAAAAAAUUGUUUGAAACCUAAAAUGAAAAAUUUGGAAAGUUUAGGGAUUGGGGACCAAAAUAAAAAAGCGUGAAAAGAGUGAGGCCCAAUGUGCAAUUAAUCUUUUAAGGCAUUUGAAAUCAAAAUAGAUAUUUUUUACACUAUAAAAAAAUUCAACUACCAAAUAUUAUAUUAUUAUAUAAAUUAAUCCUCAAAAAAUUGUUUGAAACCUAAAAUGAAAAAUUUGCAAAGUUUAGGGAUUGGGGACCAAAAUAAAAAAGCGUGAAAAGAUUGAGGCCUAAUGUGCAAUUAAUCUUUUAAAAAAAUGUGGGCCCCACAACCUCCAAAAUAAGAGGACUUUUUUUGUUCUAAAUUUGUAUAUUUAUAAAUUAUAAAUAAAUAAAUAAAUAAAAAUAAAGUGAAAAAAUAAAAAAAAAUGUAAAGUGUGUGAGAGAGAGUGUGAGAGAGAAAAAAAAAAAGUGGACCCCACUGGCCCCUCCAAACCCGGGGAGGCCUGUAUUUGGUUCCCAAUUAAUAAGUUAUAUAAAUAUCCUCGAAUAUGUUUCAUUUCAUAUUUCCAUAUUCAGCUAUUCCAGUCAAUUUGUAUGGGCACUUUUGUAUUUUAAAUAGAAAAUGUAGUAAAACUUUUUGCUUGGUUUGUUAGAUGUAUUAGGACAAAUUGUGAGUAUCACAUAAAAAAACCCAUGAUAUAGGACAAGCUGAAUACCUCUCUUUGUACAGAACUAGUAAGCUUGCUGAUGUUAGUAACAUAACUGGAUUAACUAGAUGGGUCUUUAACCAUGUGGCCUAAAAUAAUUAAGUCCAAAUUAUAGCACCAGUAGACUAUUUCUUACAUGAGAACUUCUCAACAUGUUCUGAUUUCUCUGAUUUUAAAUCCUAAUGUCCUCGUGAAUCACACUUAAGCAAGUCUAAGUCUUCCCUUGGUAUAUAUCUACGCCUUACAUUAAACCGGUUACAUUCUCAUCGCCCUACUCUCUUCACUAGGAUCAAGAUCGUUAAAUUAAUGUUAAACGACUGUUGUUCUCUAAAAGCUUAAGCGACCAUAGAACGGUGUCUAUAUAUUUGCUAUUCAACACUUUGCCUCACGUUUGAGCUUGAGAUUUUUUUAUAGGCCCAUGACGUGGAAUAACUAAAUAGGACGAAAUCAAAUAAAGUUAGUAACAAGGAUUUAAGUGCCAUGACACGGGAUCGUGCCGGAAACAUGCCGGCACAGUAUGGCACGGUGCGUGCCGAGCCGUGUCAAUGCAUGCGGGUCACAAAAAAUACAUAUGUGCUGACACAUAAUGGUAUGAAAUAUUUUUUUUCUUUAGUAACAAAAUAUUCUAACUGUUUAUUAUGUAUUUUUAUCAAAUCUUUUCAACUUUAUUAAGAAAAUUACUUUCUAAUUUAAAGAAUAGAGGGUUUUGAGCUGUGCCACGGCACAGGGGCUGAAUCGUGUUGAAAUCUUGUUGGCACGAAACAAUACUGUAUAUACGGCUCAUGCCGAUGGGCACUUAAAUCUUUGGCUAGUAGCCUACUGGGACUCGAAUUUAGGAACUCUUGCUCUGAUACCAUAUUAAAUUAAUAUAAAACAACCGUUGUUCUUUAAAAGUUUCAUCUACUAGAGAGCUGCAUUUUUAAUAUUUUAUUGGGUUAAUUGCAUACAGUUCCUUGUAAACAUAUUGAAUAGUAGAUAUAUCCCUACAAAGUUCAACUUUUUAUUUUCAUUCCUGCAAAAGUCCUAACGUUUUCAAAUAUACCACUGUCGUUAGGAUCCGUUAGAAAUAUGUAGUUAACCACGAGUAAAAUACUUAACCCUGGUUAGUGAAUGAGUUAAAUUGGUCUUUUUACUCCUGUUAUAUUACCGAGUAAAAUUCUUUUUCGGGAGGACAUAUCUGCAUAAUUCUAACAGUUGGGGAUUUUGGAAGGAUAUAUUUGUAAGGGCAAAAAUACCAUUUUACUUAUUUGCUGUUAAAAAAUAAACAAUGCUCUAACGGUAAUAAACCAGAUGGGCAAAUAUGAAUAUCACUGGAUUUUUGCAGGGAUAAAAAUAAAAAGUUGAACUUUGUACGGAUAAAGUUGAUAUUCGAUAUGUUUACAGGGAGCUGUAUGCAAUUAACCCUAUUUUAUAUACAACAAAAAUGACGUGCAAUAUGUGAAUUAAGGUGGUCCUAUGAACAUUAACCUAAUGAACAUAUGCAUGUUAAGGUGGUCCUACGAAGGUUAACCUGAGUCUAGCAAUGCCCACCGGUUAAUCGAAACCAAAAACGAAAAAAAGAAGCCAGACUUUGGCUAUAGAUAGGAAUCAGUAGAUACUAGUAGUGCCGAAGCCAGAAUUUUUUUUCAAGCAGGAGCAAAAAUAUAUGAUUAAGAAAUUCAAUCAAUGAAUUAAUCUUAUUCAAUAUAAAAAUUAUGACUUAAAGUAAAAAAUUUGUUUUCAUAUCAUAUAAAUCAUAUUGAUAUGUAUAGUCUCUGAAACAUGAAAAUGCACAAUUUUUCAUGGAUAAGAAAUAAGAACUCAGGAGCUGUUUGGUGAGAAAUUUUCAAGCAUGGUUAGAGUAAAUGAAUUGAUGAAUAUUGUUGGCAUAUCUAAUUCAUUUACUCAAGCAUUCAGUAAUUCAGUGACGAGAUGCAUCAAAGCCUAUAUCAAUGGUCCUAAUCAUUAUUUUACCAGAAUAUGAUAUAUCGUUUUAGAACUGGAUGUUGGGAUAAAAGAAAUUUAAAUUUCAAAUUGAAAAUAUAGAAGGCAAUAAAAUAAGUGGGGAAUGAUUAUGCUUGCCUUAGAUGACCAACCAUUAAAAGGAAAAGAAAUAAAAUUAUAUUGUUACCUUAUUUUCAAAUUCUUUUGAAUUAUUUCCCUAAAUGAAGAGGGCCUAGAAUCACUAUAGAUUGGACUAUGGGAUUCAAAAAUGGAUCUUUUUUGAAAGGGGAGAAGAAAAAGAGAAAAAAGAAGAAAGAGCUUAGGCCCUUUCAUGCGACGACGGCGAUGACGACGACGAUGACUUCGGCGACGACGAUGACGACGACGACUUCGGCGACGACGACGACUUCAACUACACGCGAGGAGGCCAUAUAACCUCUUUUUCCUUUUCUUUUCUACGAUGACGACGGGUUGGUGUAUAUGCGCAAAUCGUGUAGUUGCGAUUUUCCUGUCAGUUUGAUCAACACGACUGUCUUUGUGAUGGGUCGACCCGAUCAAAUUUGGCGGUGAAUCGUUACUACAUCAUGCACGCGUAUUCAUUAAGNACCUAUAAAAAAAGGUGAGAUUAAUGGUGGAUGGUGGCUAUGGAUCGAUAUCCCCACAUUAGGGUUCCCGCUCUGAUACCAUGAAAGAAGGGCUAAAGUGCAUACCCUCUUGAGUUGUAUUAAUGAAUAUAUAUAGUACAAGAGAUUGUCUUACUAUAGUAACAAUGACUACUAUAGUAAGAGUAUAACUAGGAUUACAUACUAUAUAAUUCUCCUCUAUAGAAGGCAAUGAUACUACUCUAUAUAAGGCAAUAAAACACAAUAUCCUAAUAUAUCGUAACAUCCUAAUAUAGAUAAAAUAUAUCGUAACAGUCUCCCUCAACAUUGCCUUCGCUAUGAUGACAACAAAAGGACAAUAUGUGUGCACAAGCGAUGGUGGCGAUCCAUGUGUUGGGUUGAUCGAGCGGCCGUCUUCGCAAUAGGCUCGACACUUUCAAUACUGACAUUGGAUCGUUAUC